rnacentral:lncRNA from 1 species
UCAGAAGGUGGAGAUAUUAAACCAACAGGAUUUUGAUCCUUGAAUCUUGAAGAAGAGAAGGUAAUAGAUAGAAAAGAAUAGAGUAGAGCAUUUAAAGAUUUUCUUUGAUGGAAUUCAAAAAGUUAGAAAUGUAAGACAGUAAAAACUUGAAUACCAAUGAAGAAGACUCGUUACAUUCAAAUACAUAUCUUAAGUGCCUACAGAAAGCCCAUAAAAAAAGUUUCCACAGAAAUAACUAAUAAAAACAAACAGGAUUCUUCUUUUUACUUGAACAAAUUUUGGACAAUUGCAGCAGCAUGCUGCUGUAGAGGCACUUGAAUCACUUGGGGUAAGGAGGCACCAACAGUAGAAAGAGGAUUUACGAUAGAAACACCCAAGACUGAGGAUACAGUGGGCAUUAUCCUGGCAGGAGAUCCAAGGUUUGACAAUGGAAGAAUCCCAUGUAAUGCUACUCCAGAUGAAACUAUUGACUCAUCUGGCUGAACCCACUCUCUUUUUAUUCUACAAAUUUUAGUCCGAAAAGUUAAUAAGAAGCUAAAUUGUGAUCAAGAAAACAUAGUUUUUAUCCAAAAUAUGCCAAACUGACACAUGCAACAAGUUCAUCGAGUCUAGAGCUAGACAAAACUCCCAAACCGAACUGAAUUGAGCGGUUCUUCUAAAAUUAAAUAUCCAAAUAGUAUCUGAAUCAAGAAUCGACGGGUUUGGUUCAGGUCUCGGUUCUAGAUCAAGGAAACCGAAAAACUGAAUAAAAACCGAAUUUCUCUAAUUUUUUUAAUUAAUUUAUUUUAAAUAAGCCAAAUUAUUUUAUUUUUCUAAAUAAAUUUGUUGACUAAUUAAUUUAGCUCAAACCCAAAAAUAUGAUUUUCCUAUUUUUAAUUUUCAGUUCAAAACCAACUUAAUUAAAUUGGCCUAAAUUUUAUCCAAAUCUAGUACUCUAUCAUAGUAUCGUUUCUACUGUUCUGAAGAAAUCGAAUUGAAGUUCAACAAUGUCUCUCUUAAUUAUUUUGAGCUCGCUAACUUCCUCUUCCUGUAAUUUUAACAAUCAAGUCUAUGAAGAACUCAGCAAAAAGAGAUGCAAAAAUACAUACAAUUGGAUUACGUUAUUUUGUAAGAGAUAAGAUUGAACAUAUCAUUAGUUGAAGUAAUGUAACUUUGUAAAUAUUAAAAAAUUAAAUUAUAAUACGAAAAUUGGAAACCUAAUGGAAUCAACCCUGAACGGUUCCAUAAUUAAAUUUGUACCCAACGAUUCGACUUACUAAAUUCCCGAAAAUUGAAACGGACAGAACCAUGUCAAGCCCUAAUCGAGUCCCUAUAGCUCAAGUUGUCACUGAUAUAAAAAUCAAUUUAGACAUUUUCCAUAUUUUCACUUAAUGUUGCAACUCUGUCACAUUAUAUGCAAUGCAAAAACCAUAACCCCUUACAAAAAAAAUCACACAAGUCAUUUAAAUUAUUAUCCGAGUUACUCACGACAAUAAUUUGAGAAUAGUGUCUGAAUCGUUAAUUUGCAUUAACAAAUGUCUAGGAAACUAAAAACGCCGUGAAAACCCUAUAACUGACGGUAAAUUAAAACAUUACCCAACCUCAAAAGCAUCAAUAGAUUCAACUAAAACACAAAAUAUAACUAAUUGAUAAACCAGAAAAUCAUUACACAAAUUAUACUCAAAGCAAUAAAUAGAGGAAGCAACAUCUAACCAUUCUUCCACAUAAAAAUUGAAAAUUGUGCACAAUACACGAAGAUUCAACUGAAACUGGGGCAAAAUAAGGGGAAAAGCACCUUUUUUUGGUUGUUGACAAAUCGGUAGAUUUGGAGGAUGAAACCCUCGUGCGAUUGUCUUCUGUCAUUGAAUAAUUUUUUAUUUACAACUGUUUAGUUAUUUAUUGAUUAAUCGAAUUUUCAUAACUGAAAAUAUGCUGUUUAUAUGGGGAAAUAUAUGGAAAUAACCUUUUCAAAAGGGUUACUUUUCCAAAAUUACCCUUAGGCAGUUUACAUACCAAAAAUGCCCUCCAUUUGGAUAUUGCAUAACAAGGCAUCAUAAUAUAGAAAUUUUCUAUUUUAAUCCUCAAAAUUAAAUGUUGGUUGAAAUUUGAUAAUUUUUAUUUAAUUUUGUUCUCUCUAAGUAGCUCCCUCUAAUUGGUAUCAGAAUCAUAGAGAUCAUGUUAAAAUAAGAAAAAUAGAUAAUUAUUGGUGCUUAGAAGAAGAAGAAAAAGAUAGUUAUAUAUUUUUAAAACCUAUUCAUAAUAAAUUAAAAAUAAUGAUUUUGACAAUAAUUAAAGAAUUUCCUAAAGAAAUAAAGGAACAAAUAUUAGAAAAAUUAGUAAUAGAAAAAAUAAAAGAUAUUUAUACAUAUGAAAAAAUUAUUAAUAUAUAUGAAGAUGAAGAAAAUAAUUUAUAUUAUAAAGAAAAAUAUCGGUAUAAUUGAUAAUACACAUCAAAAAUUGAAUAAAUUACUUUUAAAAUGGAUAAAAUAUAAGAAGAAAUAAGAAAUAUAAUGUUAGUACCAGAAGGAAUGAGAAUAUCAAAAAAUAAACAAUUAACAAAAUUAAAAUGCGAAAGACUAAAACUUGAGAGCAAAUAUUUCACUAUAGUAAAAGAAGAAUUAGUAGAUCCAGAAACAGCUGAGAGAAAAUUUAGAAAAAUAAUAGAUAAAAAAGAAGAUAAAAGAUGCAAAUUAACUUAUGAGUUAGAAAUAAGAAAAAAUUAAGAUGUCAAUAAGUGAAUAUAUGGAAAAAUUAAAUUCAUUAAUAAAAAUGUUAAUAAAUGAUGUACAAGAUUUGAGAAAUGAAGUAAAAGAAACAAGAAAUGAUAUAAAUAUAUUAAAAAUUGAUAGUAGAGAAUUAAAAGAAAAUAAUAAGAAUAAAGAUUAAAAAAACUUAUAGAAAAAGAAAUGACUCAAAUAGGAAAAAAAUAUAUAGAAAAAGAAAAUAUAGUAGUAGAAAUAGGAAGUAUGAAUGAUGAAUUUAGAAAAAAUAUAUUACCAAAGAUAUUAGAAGAAGAAGAAGAAUUUAGAGAAAAAUCAUUAAGAAAAUUAAAAAUAGAAGAAGAAGAAGAUAAAAAUGAAUGAAGAGUUAGAUUUAUUAAUAGAAAAUUUUGAUCAAUUAAACUUAACUGAUAUAAGUGAAUACCAAGUUUUAAUGAAUAAUGAAGAACAUAAUCCAGCAGGAACUUCUAAACAAGAAUUACGUGAUACAGAUGAAAUUUAUGCACCUAUAUAUAAUAAAUCAUAUAGACAAUUCUAUGAUAAAAUAAGAGACAGACAACCACCUAAAGGAAAUAAAUAUAAAGAUAGGUUUGAAUUAAAUGAUAAUUAUGAUAAACCAAUUAAUCAUGGAAGAACAAAACUAGAUUUAAAUUGUAAAAUAGAUACUAAAAAAGCCUUAUUAACUUGGGCAGAUUCGAUGAUAUUAUUCUUUUUAUAUAAUAAAGAUGACACAUGAGAAAGUACUGAAAGAAGAAUAGAUUCUUAAUAGCAUCUUUUGAAGAAGAUGUUAGAAACUAGUGGGAAUAAAUAAGUAAUGAUACAAAAACAUUAAUAAAAAAAUGUACAGACAGAAAUAAUAAAAUCAGAUAGACAUGGUAUAAAAAAUUAGUAGAAUAUAUUUCUGAUGAAUUUUUAGGAGAAAACUGGAUAAGAAAUGCUGAAAGAGAAGAAAUAAGAGAAAAAGAUAGCGCUAGGAUUAAAUUAAUAAAUUUAACAAUAUGUGAUAUGUGUAAAAUUAAAUAAUAUACUUGUGAAUUUAGAAACUAUUAUUAUGUUCAAUUUUCCAGUAAUGAAAAUCAAGAAGUAUACCAAGAUAUGUACUAUAAUAAAUUACCAGGUUCUUGAGGAAUGUAUUUCAAGAUAGAAUUUGAAAAAUAUGUUAAAGAUAAUAUUAGAAUACCUAGAACUUUAGGUUCAAUAAUAAAAUUUUUAUUUGAAAGACUUGCAUAUAUAUGUCAACAAAGACAAUUAAUGAAAAAAUCAGGAAAAUUAACUAGAAUAUGUUGUGAAAAUAUGGAAACCCCUGUGCAAUGGGGAUGUAAUUCUGAAAGAAGAAUUAAUAAAAUAAAAUAUGAAAAUAAAAAGUUCAAAAAAUUUAGAAAUUUUAAUAAAAAAUAUAUAAAAUUUAGAAGAAGAUAUUACAAAAAAAAAAUCCAUAUAACCAACACAAAAAUAAGAAUUAUAAGAAAAAUAAAAGUCAAUGUAAAUGUUGGAAUUGUGGAGAAAUAGGUCAUAUAAGUCCUGAUUGUGAUAAAAAAAAGUUAAAAUAUUACAAAAAGAAUAUUUAGAAAUAAAAGAUGAAUUAAGUGAAAUAUCGGAUAUUGAAUAAUAUUAUAAUCAAGAAGUAUAUAUAAGUGAAACAAUGGAUCAGGAUCUGAAUAGAGAAAUUGAAAGUAAUAACAUAAAUAUGCAAGAAUAUGAAGGAAUAGAAGGAUAUGGAUUAAAAGUUAAUUUUGAUAAUAACAAGUUUAGAAAAUUGCAAAAAUUAUCAUUUGAUUUAAAAAUAAGAAAAUUGGAAGUCUUUGAUAGAAUUUGGAAAAGAGAAAGAAUAGCAAUAAAUGAAUAUCACAAAAUAGAAAAAAUCAUAGAUAUAAGAACAACUUAUAGACAAUAUAAAUUAAAUCUUUUAACCAAAAAUACAGUUGAUAAACUAUUGAAGAAGAUUAGUAAAAAAAACAAAGUGAAAAAAUCCAAUAUGUUUAUUUAGCAGGAAUGCAAAUAAUGUUUAAAUCACUAUUUAGAGAAGGGAUAGAUUCACCCUUAACUAUAACUCUACAUGAUGGAAAAAUAAUAAACUUAAAAGAUAGUCAUUUAGGAAUAAUAGAAGGAAAUUUAGCAUAUCAAAAAAAAUUAUGUUUACAUGUUAUCCAAAAUAUUGUGUAUCAUUGAAAGAUAGAAACUUUAAUGAAGUUUUAGGACUACAUUUCAAACUUCUUAGAGAUGAUAUUAUGCAACCAUAAAUCAAAUUAUGACUAUAGAAUAUAGAGCUUUAUGCACAUUUACCAAUUCUAAUUAUGGGAAUAUUUAAUCCAAUAAACCAUAUAUUGAAGUUCAUAAAGAAUGCAAAGAUAUUAAUUAAAAAAUUGAACCAAACAAACAGAUAAGUUUAAAUCCAGAAGAAUAUGAAUUUUGUAUAGUAAAAAAUAAACCUGAAAUAACAGAAUUAAAUGAAGGAGAAUGUUCUAAUAACAUAACAUUUUAGGAUGGAAAAUUAAUUAAAAAAUUAAAAAGUUUUAAAAUACCUAAUAAAAAUCAGUUAGAAGAAAUCAAUAAAAUUAAAAAAGUAAAAUUAUGUAGGAAUGCUGGAAACAUGAAAAUAGAAGGAGAAUAUUAUAAUGAAAGAGAAAAUAUAAAUGGACCCAAUAUAUUAAUAGAUACAGGAGCUAGUAAAUGUCAUAUAGUUUCAAUUAGAAAUAAAAGCCUAAUAACUCAUAAAACUGAGCCAUAUAAAUAUGUAAAUUUUGAUGGACAAAUACAUAUAACAGAUUUAGAAGUUAAGGUACCAAUAAAAAUAGGAGGAAUAGAUCUUUUAGUACCAUAUUAUAUAGAUAAAAGUAUGGAUAUAAAUCCUCAAAUACUUUUUGAAAUGAGUUUUCUAAAUGGAUUAGAAGAUUAUAGUAUAAAAAGAGAAGGAUUAUAUAUUGUUCAUAAUGGACAAACUACAUUAUGUAAAAAGAAUUAGAUGAAUAAUCAGAUAAGUUUUUCAUUAGCUGUGUAUAUACAAAUUACAAUUGUAGAAACAAAUAUAACAACUUGUGCUUUAAUAGAUACAGGAAGUGAUAUAACAAUAUUUAAAAGUUUUUUAAUAAAAUCAUGGAAUAAUAAUAGUAAUAUAAAAAUAACUGAUGUUAUAGGAGAAAGUACUCAAAUAAUUAAUAGUGCUGAUAAAAUUAAUAUAAUUCUUGAAAGUAAACAAGUAACAAUAAAUAAAAUUUAUAAAUACGAUAAAUUAGAACGUGAUAUAUUAUUAGGAAAUGAUUUAAUACAACAAUUUCAAUAUUAUAAACAAAAUAAUUAUAUGAUAAUGUUACAAACACCUUGUGGACACUAAUUAAAAAUUCCUAGAGAAUUUAAAUCUUAUAGAGCUCAGCCAGCCCAGCGUGAUAAUAAAUUGGAGAAAAAAUCAAUUCUUAAUAACGAAAUAAAAAAUAAAAGAAUAUUAUAUAAAAAUGUUAUAAAAACAGGAAUAGAAAUGAAUAUAGAAAAAAUCAUUGAAUAAUUAGAAAAGGUUUAUGGAGAAAAUCCAUUAUUAUUUUGGAAACCACAUCACCAAAAAGCCAAAAUAGAAUUAAUAGAAAAUAUUAUUAGAGAGUAAGACCAAUGAUGUAUACACAAGAAUUUAAAAAUCAGAUAAAAGAAUUGUUAGAACAAAAACUUAUUAGAUCUAGUAAUGGACCUCAUAGUAGUUCAGCCUUUAUGGUCAUGAAACAAUCAGAACAAGUUAGAGGAAAAGUUAGAAUGGUUAUAAAUUAUAAAGAAUUAAACAAAUAUACUAAAUUCGAUGGUUACUUUCUACCAAAUAAAGAAGUACUAAUAAAUCUUGUAAAAGGAAAACAAUAUUAUUCUAAAUUUGAUUGUAAAUUAGGAUUUUGGCAAGUAAAAAUGGAAGAAGAUAGUAUACAAUAUACUGCAUUUAGUACACCUCAAGAAAAAUAUGAAUGGUUAGUUAUGUCAUUUUGUUUGAAAAAUGCACCACAAAUAUAUCAAAAAAAGAUGGAUAAUAUAUUUAAAAAGUUUAAUGAAUUUCUAAUAGUUUAUAUUGAUGAUAUAUUAAUAUGUUUUAAUAGUAAAGAAGAACAUAGAAAUCCUUUAAUCAAAUUUAUUAAUGAAAAUAAAAAAGAAUGAAUUGUACUAUCUAAAAAGAAAUCUAUAAUAGAAAAAUAAGAGAUAAACUUUCUUGAAUUAUUAAUAAAUAAAAGAGGGAUAAAAUUACAGACUCAUGUAUCCAAAAAGAUAAAAAGUUUUCCAAAUAAAUUAGAAUCUAAGGAACAAAUUCAAAAAAUUUUAGAAUGUUUAAAUUAUGUAGAAAGAUUUAUUGAAAAUCUUUCUAAGAAAAGACAUAAAAUCCAAGUUUUACUUAGAAAAACAAAUAUUAAGGGAUGGAAUGAAGAACAUACAAAAAUAGUUAAAUCAUUAAAAGAAGAAUAAAAAAUUUACCAAAAUUAAGAUUAGCAGAUGGAAAAGAUAAUUUGAUUGUUAAUACUGAUACUUCAGAUAAAUAUUGGGCAGCAACAUUAAAAACGGAUCUUAAUGAGAUUUGUAGAUACUCAAGUGGAACUUUUAACCAAACAGAAAUAAAUUAUACUGCUCAUGAAAAAGAAUUACUAGCAAUUAUUAUAGGAAUAAAAAAGUUCUCAUUGUUUUUAUUAUCCAAGAAAUUUAUUAUUGAAACUGAUAAUUCUCAAGUUGUAGGAUUAGUCAGGAAUAAGUUACCCUCAGAACCACAAUACAGAAGGUUUCAUAGAUGGCAAGCUUAUUUAGCAUUUUAUAAUUUUGAUAUAGUCCAUAUUAAAGGAGUUAAUAAUUUUCUUGCAAAUUUUCUCAGCAAAAAUAUAGAAUUUGCUGAUGGAUAAAGCCAAGACCAUGGAAUUAUACCAAUCUAUUCUACAUAUACAAGAAAUGACAAAUUUGCUUAAAGAAGAAUCUCAAGAUUAAAGUUCUGGAGCAACCCACAUCUCAGAGAUGUUUAACUCAAAUAUGAAAAUAUUGUUGAAUAUCACUACUGAAUAUCAUAAAUAUGCUAUAGAACUCAAAAAUCAAGUUGAUGUUAUUGCAGCACAACUAAAAAAUAUAUUGUUUGAAACAGAUAUACCAAAGAGCUCAGAAAUGAGUUUUCCAAAUCAAUAUUAAACAGGGACAGCUGGAAAUAGCAGUGAACCCAGACGUGACAACAUACCAACCGAUAAUAAAGGAGAUUCCAUUUAUGUAUCAUCAACCAAGAAAGUUAUGAUACAUGGAGAUAAAAGAAAUACCAAAAUAAUCAGCAUCAUAGACCAAGAAGAUAAAAUCUCUUUAGAUCCAAACGAAAAAAAAUAUGUCGAAAUAGUCAAAAUUGCUUAUGAAAUAAAAAUAAGUGAUUCAUAUUUCAUUUUUUCGGGAAAUAAUGUUUACCCCAGAAUAACAGCUAUGGAAGGAGGUGACCCUUCAUUUAUAAAAAUCAUGACAGACUAUAGAUUCAUGGAUUUGAUUUAUCUAGGAAAAGAUUUUAUUAAAAUUUCAAAGUUUGAUGACAUAUUCAUUAAAGAAAUAUCCAAAUUUGCUAAGGGAAGAAAGAUAUUUUUAAAAUUAUAUUCAAUUAGUCCAGAAUAUGAUGGAGUUAUUUACUAUCCAAUUGAACACAUAUUCUCAAUUGGAUAUGUUGCAGCCAAUUUCCACAUUGAUGUUAUAAAAAAUAAUAGAAAAGUCCCAACAGUAACAAAAUCAUGGAUCAGACAUAGAAGAACACUUGGAAUUAAAAACAUUUACAACAUUGUCAAAAAUUUGUUUGAUAAAAAAAUUCUCGUGCCUGUGCCAAUAUGAAAAUUGGAUGUUGGUAUCCAAUGGAGGAUAUGCAAAAUCAGAAAUUUUAAAAGACUAUAUUACAAGAUUUGAUAUACAUCAAUUUUUAGGAUGUCCUACCACUAUAAAAGAAUUCUAUCGGUUAAGGGAAUGCCCCAACUGCAUGUGAAGAAAUAAAAGAAGAAGACAAAGCACCUUUUGACAAAUGUGUAUGAAGGACAAUAAUACUACAUGUGAAGACAUUGAAGAUAAAGAGCAAUAAUAGAAAAAGAUACUCUUUGGAUAGAAAAGUUGAACCAGCAUAUGAAGAUGUAGGCCGAAGAAAGAAAAUAGAAAGGCAAGUGUGCCUUGCUGAUGUAUUCAAUGAUGUAAUAGAGUCUCCAAAACUUGUAUAAAUAGAGAUAUUACUAUAGAAGAAGAUCAUCCUAUCUUGAAUUCUUGAGUUGUAAGCAAUAACCUUUUCUCGGUUUAAAAAAUCAGUUUUUCUAGAAAUCUCUUUGUACCAAAUAUAAGUCUUGUAUCAAUCCUAAUAGAAAUAAAAUUCCAAUAUUUUGAUAUCAAUAUGAGUUUCUAAAUCUUUUUCCCAUAAAUUCUUGAAAGAUCUAAUAGAAAGUUUCCUUCUUAUUUUAACAAAAAUAGAGUUUUCUUUAACAGAAAUCUAGAAUUUUAUUCUUUAGAAAUUGAUACAAUGAGAGCAAAUAGCUGAAAUAGUAACAAUUUCGUGAAGGCAGGAGGCCGUUGAAGGAAAAAGUUUUCAAAUUCAGAGUUCGAAGGUCACUCGGUUCUAAAAAUACAAGUCUAGAUCAAACCUAAGGUAAAACUAUUAAACUUUUGCUAAAAUUAGAAUGAAUCUUUUUAAGAUCUUAAAAGAAUCGCAGGGACAAUUGCAUGAUGAUUAUUUUGAUAAGUGCCAGGAUAUACAGUUUUAGGAUUAGAUAAUUUAUUAGAAAGAAUGUUAGAAGAAAUAAAGAAUAUUAUAUCUCAAUUAAAAAAUACAAAUUUACCAUUUGAAAAAUAUGGUAUUUUAUUAAGAAAAUAUGAUAUAUAUGUUGCGGAUUUUUCUUAUCUAUUAGAUCAUAAAAUGAUUUUAUAUUCAAAUAUCCAAAAUAGAGUAAACAGAAGAUAAAAUGUUUAAAAGAUUAUGACAUAUGUUGCAAUAUAGAAAGAAUCAUUUCAUUAAGAAUAAUAUAGACAUUUCCAUAAAAAAGAAUAGUGACAGGCCAAAUAAAAAAAUCUCCCAUUUAUAUGUGAAUGUAUUACAUUGUUUUUCGACAGAAAUUUGAGGAAGGCAAGCUAUGCACAAAGCGAUGGGGGUACUUUUAAGAAUGGCUAGGUCAAAUGACCACUUCACCACUUUAAUCCAAAAUUUUUGUCAAUCUUCACAAUAGCCUUUUCUAGGUUAAAAGACAAAAAUAACCUUAAAUUGUUUAUAAAAUUACAAUGGCAUAAUUUUGUUUUAAAAGACAAAUAUACCCUUAAGUUACAAAUUAAAAAAUCAAACACUUUCAUUUCUUAAUAUUUAACUACUUUAUUUAAUUAUUUUUUUAAAACACUUACUUCAAUAAAAAAAAUUAAUAUUUAAUUUAAUUACUUCUUAAAAUAUUCACAAAACUUCAAUAAAAAAUUAAUAUUUAACUUAAUUUCUUCUUAAAAUAUUCACAAAAAUAAAUAAAAAUGAAAUCGAAAAAUUCUUCCUAGCAAUCCGGAUCUGAACUCGUGUAAUCCAUAACGGACCAUGGUCCAGACCCGGACCAUUCAGGUCCGGGGGGCCGGCCAGGAAAUUUUUUUUUUAUUUUUUUAGAGAACAAAAUUUGAAUCUUAUAAUUUAAAAAAAAAAUUCUAAUCUAAUUCGUUUCCCAUAAUUUAUUUUUCAUUUUUUUCUUCUUUUAAUUUUUUUGCUCAAUCAUGUAUGUAUUUUUUUUCUUGAAUUUAAUUUUUUUUCAUUAAUUUAAUUCAAUUUAUGUAUUAUUUAAUUUUUAUUUACUCUUUUUAAUGUGCGAGGAAACGAUUUUAUUUCUUACGUACUAAUGCAUGUAAUUUGAUUUGUUAAAUUUUAAAAUAUAAUAAAUGUUGAUAAUUUCUUAUAAAUGUUUUUAAUGUGUAUUAUUUUGCAGAAUGGAGUACUACUUAGACAAUAUCAUAAGAGCUCAUUUUGGGAAAAGUUAUGUUGUAUCAGUAUUGGAAGGACUCAAUGAGGAACAUAUAGUCAUACUCCGUCGAUCAUUCAUAUGGUCCUUCUAUCCGUUGAAAGACAUGCAAUUUUUCGCCCAAAUUAUUGAUUCCUUAUUAUUUUGGCUUUGAAAGCCAGUCGAUGUUGAUCAACCUUUGAAUACAACUGUGACUAAAUAAUUAAUUAAUUAAAUAAACAAAAUAAUCAAUGAAAUAUUUAAAGAAGAAAUUAAAUUAAAUAUUAAUUUUUGAUUUCAGUAAGUCUUUAAAAUAAAUAAUUAAAUAAAGUAAUUAUGAUCAUGUUUGAUUACGAUCCUAUGAGCAAAUUAAAAAACUGUACUCCAUCCAGCAUGUGAACUCCUACCAGACUCAUGUCUCUAUCUGAUUACGAUCCUGUGAACAAAUUUUGUGUGUAAUAUUGAGAUCACGAUGAGUAACAAUUAUUUCGAGAAUAAUGUUUAGAUGUAAAAGAUUGAUAGGGUUUCGGCUUACUGGAAAUAAGAACUAGUACAUUUUCUAAUUAUUUUAUGAAAGUAAAAAAUAGUAUUGGUUAUGUAUAUUGUUCAUUUAAUAUUUAAUUACUUUAUUUAAUCACAAAUUUAAAUAAAAAUUAAUAUUUAUUUUAAUUUCUUAUUUAAAUAUUUUUUUUAUUAAUUGUCUUAAUUAGCUAUGUAUAUUAUUGAUUUAUUGUUUAAUUAUUUAUUUAAUCACUUAAUUAAAUAAAUUAAAUAAAAAAUUAAUAUUUAAUUUAAUUUCUUAUUUGGAUAUUUCAUUAAUUAAUUAUCUUAAUUGGUUGUAUAUAUUAUGUAUUUAAAAUUUAAUUACUUUAUUUAAUUAUUUAUUUAAUCACUUAUUUAAAUAAAAGAAUUAAUAUUUAUUUUAAUUCUUAUUUAAAUAUUUCAUUAAUUAAUUAUCUUAAUUAAUUAUGUAUAUUCUUUAUUUAAUAUUUAAUUACUUUGUUUAGUUAUUUAUUUAAUCACUUAAUUAAAUAAAAAAUAAUAUUUAAUUUACCUUCUUAUUUAGAUAUUUCAGUAAUUAAUCAUCUUAAUUGGUUAUGUCAAUUAUUAGUAAUUAAUAUUUAAUUACUUUAUUUUAGUUACUUAUUUAAAUAAAAACAUUUUAUUAUAAUGUACAAGUGGCAUAACAUUAUUGGAGAUUUGAAAAAUAAUUUUUUUCGAUCCUCCACUCAUGGAAUUUCACAUGUACAUUAUGAACAUCCUUAUGAAUUAGUACAUGUAGAAUUAUCCAAUAUUUAAUUUUAUUAGCUUUUGUGUAGGGAAUUAUAGCAGCUUGAAUGAUUAUUAUAUUUAUCAAUUCACGAUUUUAGUUUUGCAAAACAAAUAAUUAUUUUCUAGAAUUCUUAACAACUGAGAUUGACUCUUUGUUCCUAUUCUAUCACAAGAAUAUCUAUUUCAAUUUUUACAUUACUGACUUUGAAAUAUAGCGUAAUUUGUUGUUCUAUAAGUCUUACUUUUAAAUUAUUUUUUGUCAACAUGAUUUUCAAAGUUAAUUAAUUAUGUCAAAGGGAAAAGCGAAGUGAAUAAAAUGUCUUUUUACACCAAACUCAAAUUCUUUGUAAGAGGUGAAAAGAUUGAAAACUGAGCUAUUGGCCUCUCAAAUAGUUUAUUGAGUUCAAAAUUUCCUGAGCUAUUGGAAAGUUCCCAAGUUCGAAAUUUAUGCUCUCAAAUAGUUUCUUUAGUAUAAAUAUUACUGAGUAAUCCUUUUGCCAAUUUUAUUACUCAUCAAUAUGUUUUUACUUUUUAAGCUAGCUAAAUAAAUAGUUACAAGUUGACUUACAAUCCAGUUGAUUUAAUAAGUAUUUUUCUUUAACAUUGACCCCAUUUAUUAUCUCCAAUUUUUAUUUAUUAUUUUGAUUGUUUCUAUUUUGUCGUUGUUGUGGGUAUGUUGAAUUCUUUCGUAGAAGGACCGAGUAAUUGGGUGCUAUUGAAUUUAGAAGAGGAGUGAAGGAAAAGCUAUUACUUUUAAGUACAGGCUAGGAAUUUGGCAAAUGAUCCAAAUGACAAAAGUCAACUUUUUCUUCAUUUUCUUCUCAUACUAUAGGAGUUAAAAUAUAAGCAUAUGUGUUUAUUCAAAUUAUUCCACUUCAUCACUGCACCAACACAUUUGUUCUAUGUAUUUAUUCAGCAACUACUACACACUUAUACUUCACGUUCAGUUCCAACUAAACCAAUUAACGUGCACCUAACUAAACCAACUAAUGUGCAACGCACGUUGCCACACUAGUUUUGGAAAAAGCAUGAAAAAAUUGUAUUUUGAUUCUUUACUAAAAUAAGAUGAAAGCUAUAAAUGAUGUUAGUGUUGCAAAGGUUGUAUCGUAUAUUUUUUUUAGCAUUUUGGGUUUUACUGAAUUAUAUUUUCAUAUGUAUAUAAUUUUUACGUUUUAGUGCAUUUAUAUAUAUAUUAAAUAAUUUUUAAUAUUAUUUAAUCAAAUUUUAAUAAACGACCUGACUCUUACGAUCGUUGAUUGUCGACGAUUAAUGGAUAACGGUCAAACUUUGCCCUAGUUGGACUUCAGUGCUAGAUUUGCCACUAAAUAGAAUGCCAAAUGAUAGAAAUUAAAAAUAAGAGCAACAAAAUAUAGGUUCCCCAAGCUAGAAGAAAAUGGACAUUCCCCAAGCUUUCUUUUUAUAAAAUCUUGCCUUGAAAAGCUUCUCUCAGCCAUAAUUUUAGUGAUGAAGAUCGUAUCUAACAUAACAAUCUUUAUCAAUGCCAGUUAUAAACUGUUCUUAAACAGAUUAUAAUGGACCGACAAGAAUUAAUGCUGGAAAAUCCCAUCUGAACAUAAUAUGAUUAGCAAUUACAAGUUGGCUAGUUAAAGGCAUGUCACAGUCCAUGUCCAUCAUGUUCUUGCCAUUCUAAUUGGAGAACUCUAAAGAACCACAACAGGCAAUGUCAUGGAACAAUAUGUAAUUACUAAUUUUGAAAAACGCAAAGCAACUCAAAAAUUUAUAGUAAUUCACCUUCAACGUUAAAAAAUCCAUCCAUCUGUCCCCACAAAUUACAUCACGUCUCUUCCAUCUGUCGUAAGAUUAGGAACCUUAACAUAUUGUAGGUAAGGCAAUGCCCAGUAACUACUAAAAUUACAUGGUCAAGGAUGAGUGAACUAUAUAAUUGUGCUCCACAAAGUUCAACAUAUUAAGCUACAAUUGCUUGUGCCUUGUAACUUCCAAAAGAAUGAUUCUCAGCCAGUCUUAUUUUAAGAAAAACCAGUUAUUUUUAAAUUUUCAAGGUUUCUCCGGUUCUUGUGCAGAUUUUCCAGUUGUAACAGCUCAAGAUGGAUUCAAUUACAAGGAAACCAUUCAUAUAAGAAUAAUACUAUUUGCAGUCGCUCAAUGCGGCAGUCGCCCUACGUGGCAUACACAUGGCAGGUGGUUAUUUGAUGCAUUAAUGAAUAAAAAAACUAUCACAUUAAUGCAUCAAAUAAUCACCUGCCAUGUGUAUGCCAUAUACGGCGACUUUCGCAGUGAGCGACUACGAAUAACAUUACUCUUCAUAUAACUAGGCAGACUUUCCAUAACUAGCAUUCAUUAAACAUCACAAGGAGCUGCAAACCAAUGCCAGAGAAGAUGACCAUUUUAAUUAAUAUAUGGUGAUAAAGUGUCAACGAAAAUUAACAAACAGAGGAACAAUUUUGUAACGUCGUGAGACGCUCAAAAUUUCAAAUUCCUAUUAGCAAAACACAUGAAUACAAGUUUAAAAAAAUAUGGCGUUCUUUCGACCACUUAUAAUACAGAUUCCAAAAAGCAGGCAGAUUGUUUAAAACAGAAAAAAAUUAAAAAAAUUAAAAAAUAAAAAUAAAAAUCUCAAUACCAUGUUGGUAGAGUAUCCCUUAAUCUAACACAACACUGUUUUCAAUAUCACUUCUUAUGACCACCAUGCAAUGAUUUUUGGGAUCCCUCAAAAAGAUCUAAGAGAUGGUCUUCUAAAUCAUCAGCCGUGUAUUUAAUGUGCCUUUCGCUAAUAUGAUUGAUGUGUCUUCCAACAAAAGUCCGAUAAGCCUGGAUUACCUUGAGUGAUGUUGAAAUAUGAAGAUCGUCUCGAAGCUGGCUAUCCGGGAUUGACCAUCCCGUCUGGUUCUUGUAAACCUCCUCAAAUGCAAGAUAAAAGCUCUGCAGCCUUUCCUUGAGAAUUGUCCUUGAAAUAGAAUUUGAACCUGGAUUUUGAAUCCCUUCAUCCUUGAGUAAAGACAGUAUCGAGCUCCAAGUAGCUCUCUCAUAAUUCAUUUCAUGUUGUUGAAAUUUCCAAUUGUGCUUCCGAAUCCACCCAUCGCCUAGUAAUGUUCUGAGUUUGGAACCUUUCACCCUUUCAGCCAUGUAAUGUAUAUUGUUCAUCAAGAAAACGUGCUGUAGGGAAUCAUCUCUGUAUAGUUUAGAUUUGCCUUCAAGGUUGCAUUCAAGAAUCGCAGUGAGCGAUUGGAUGUGUUGAGCCAUUGGAGAAACCAAGGAGCUUCCUUCAAUAUUCUCCUCAUCACUGAUUGGACUCAUGUCGAGGGAAACUGAAAAGGGAUCCUCUCUCUCAUGGUCCUUGAAGAUCACGUCAAGGGUCUCCUGAUAGUCAGCAAGAGUCUUGAUGUAAUUCAUGACAUACUUAGUGAGAUGAUGGACACCACCACCUGGGAAAGGGUUAGUCGAUACAUUAGAGGCGACAGCAUUCUCAAAUUCGAGAAAAGUUGCUUUUGCACAAUCUCCCAAUCUCCUUAAGAUGUCUAGGUAUUCAAUUCUAACACAAGAUCCUGUGUCAUCUGAGUAUAAAGUAUCGAUAUCGGGAAUAAGAACAGCAAGCACCUCAUACAUGUCAAGAAUUCGAAUCAACUUUUCCGGUUUAUGGGGGCCAAUGGCUAUGGCUUCACCGAAAUUCAGAAGUUGCAGAAUUGCAGUUUUUGAUGACUCAACAAAACAAACUGAACCAACUGAUUCAAGAUCUCCGAAAAUCUUUUCACUCAGCAAUUUCUCACUUGCAAGGUAUACCCGCACAAAAAUCUUCAUAGCCCCAAUCCAUCUCCUGAUUUUGGAGUUCAAUGUUUUCCAUUCCAUCUUAAGCACAUCCUCAAUGCUCAAUUUCUCCACUUCAAGGAUGUAAAUGCAAUCAUCUAAAGCUUCUUUUUGGAUACUAAUAAAUGCCUGAGAACAUUCCCGACCAUAAUUUGAGUCAAACAUCAAAUUGGCAAUACUUUUUAGAUCCGGAAUCACAUCUGGAUGUACCAAUUCGAUGAUGUAUUCCCCUGAACCUCGGCUUAUACUAUCUCUUUGAACUACAUCUUCAAGUGAAUCAUCCCCGGACGAGAUUACGGACCCUGCCUCCAUAAUAUCAUCUUCACUCGAACGAAAAGACAUAUGCUCCGGUUCAAAAGGCAGCCUAUUCUGAACAAGCAAGUGCCUAAACUCCUCUUCUAGCCUUGCCAUCGCCAUCUGUAGAACAUCAUGAGCCCUAUGUAGAAGUGUCGCGUCUUCACUAUCAUUAUUUAGGCUCAAACUCUCCAAACUCUCAGUCAACUUUCGAGCUUCAUCCACAGCCUUCAAAUACUCAUAAGUUUCUUUCUGGCCACACGCCCAUAUAAUCGACUGAUCCCUCUCCCAAUGCAAAACCUUAUCCUGUAUCAAAUUAAGCUGCCUCUCAAUCUCAUUAAGUCCCUCCUUUCCUUGAACACUCUCAUCUUUGUGUUCAUUCUCUCUAGUUAUAUCACACAACUGCAUGCCUAGAUUCGCCAAAAUUUUCUUAGCAUCAUCUGUCAAAUUCUUGUUCAUUUCAAGAGCCUUCACAAUUUGCUUCGCAGCAGCAAUCAUUUCUUCUUCUGUUUCCAUCUCUGAGAUGGUAGGUUUAUAGUCUACCAUAUCAUCCAACCUUCCCAAAAUCAAGAAAUCUCACAAAUCCAAAUACAAAUACUAGACUAAAUUUCACACCCCUUUUGCUCAAUCAAACAAAAUUUAAGCUAAAACUAAAGAAACCCUAAAUAAUCCCCAACCAAUUUUAUAAGAACUAGAAGAGCAAACCAAAUUCAAUAUGUGCCACAAACAUAAAGAUCUUCAAAAGAAAGAACCACAUACAUAUAUUUCAAUGUUUAUUUUCAACUUGUUGCAAAAAUCAACGGGGAAAAAAAAUUCAUAUCUUAAUAUACCCAGAACGAAAUUUAUGAAACUUGAGUAGAAAAAGGCAGAAAUACACAGUAAUGUGUAUCUCAAACAGCUGUUGGAAGAGAACGAGGGAAUUACGAUGAACCCUAUUGAAGCAAAUCUGGAAAGAAAAAAAAAAGUACUCGUUGAAGCUUUUAUGCUAAAUAAAAACCUGAGCAAAAUGGCCUAUCUCCAAGACUUUUUUCAUUUUGAUAUUCUUGAUUUGAUUCUGAACUCUGAAGCAAACUCCUAAAACGUUGUUGGCUUCAUGUAUUAUAAUUCCUUGGAGUUGUUGAGGUUACUUUCUUAACCCCUCGAUCCUCGAGGAAAAUUCUUGAAAAGAACAGUCAAUUCAACUGUGCAAGAGAAAUAUAUUCUGAAAUAUUGGCAAGUUUAUAAGUCAGAAAUUACUGUUAUCAUAAUUUAACAGUUACGCUACAUGAAUCUCUGAUGUACAAAAUAGCAAAUUUCUCCCAAGCGAUUAGUCCACAACAUCCAGCUAUGAGAUUUUUAAUAUUAUUUUAAUUACAACCUGAUCAUGGAGCACGAGUACUUUAUGCAUUUAUUUCUCGGCCUCAAUAAACUAGACAAGAUCAGCUGUAAACAAAUAUUUAUAGAAGUUUUACACCGGGGAUGCAGAUGCUAAUUUAUAUUUCUUCCACUCGGUUGAUAUUUUUUUUUUUUUUGCUUAUCCUAAUUAUAUAGUCAUAUUUCUUUAUUAAAAAUAUUUUGUUUUGUUUAUUUACUAAUAUACUCCUAUUUAAUUUUUUAGUUAUAAUCAUUUUUUUCCAUUUAAUCUUAAAAUUGUACAAACAUAAAUAAGGGUAGAAUUAGAAAGUUUCUGACAAAAAAUAUUUUUCCUAUAACAUUAAAUAAGAUUUCUUAAUUCGUGUGAAAAAAAGAAACAACUCUACAUAAAUGAAACGAGGAAGUACAAAAUAAAAUGAAAAUAAAAUCAUUAAUAUUGAGAUUGUACAAUACCCUUUUAAAAUCUCAUUCUUCAGAGCAUGUUUAGCUAAGCUUAAAAAGGGUAAAAAUUACUUUUAAGUGAAUUUUUAUUUUCAAACAUAUUUAUUAAGUAAAAAUGUUAAUUUUUUUAAAAUAUCAUAAGUAACUUAUUAUGCUAAGCUUAAGAGGGUAAAAAUUACUUUUAACUGAAUUUUUAUUUUCAAAAAUAUUUAUUAAAUAAAAAUGUUAAUUUUUUAAAGUAUCAUUAUAAGAUUCAAAUAAGUAACUUAUUAUUAACUUUAAUUGUCAAAUAUUUACUGUCACUUUUUUAAAGUAUUGCGAGGGAAUACUUUUCAUAGUAAUGUGUGUGUGGAACGUAAAUUAUGUAAUGUUAUUUUUAUUUGCUCAUUUCAUACCCCAUUUUCUUAAAUUUCCCUCUUGAGCAUCUUUACAUCUAUUUGCUCUCUAUAUUGCUAUACUUUGAAUAAAAACUUCUUUUGGUUAAUCCACAUUUGGUAAAGAUUGAAAUCUAGAUUUGAAUGUCAAUUGAAGACAAUAAUUAAUUUUAACCAAAUAUUUAUCCACAACAAUUCAAUGAUACACUUCAUCACCUUUUUGUCAAAAUCUAUUAAAAUUAUGAUUUUAAUCCUGUCUCGUUAGCUUAAAUCAUUGUUCAUUAAUGUAGAAAUAUUUUACACUUUUCCUCCUAAGUAUAUGCCUAGAAGAAUUUUAAAAUGCCAUAAAGAGUAUUAAAGCUAACCAUGCCAGGAACUAUUUACUCCCUCCGUUUCAAUUAUAUAGGCUUAUUUCGUUUUUCACGUAUAUUAAAAAAUCUUUUUUAAUGUCAUUGAAAGAAUAAUUUUUGUCAAGAUUUUUCCUAGUUUACCCCUAUUUAAUUUUCAAUGUGUUUAUAGUAAAUUAUUGUUAGAAUUAGUAAAAAAUUUGAAUGAUUUUACUCCCUCCAUUUCAAUUAUAUAGGCUUAUUUCGUUUUUCACGUGGAUUAAAAAAUCUUCUUUAAUGUCAUUGAAAGAUUAAUUUUUGUCAAUAUUUUUCCUAGUUUAUCCCUAUUUAAUCUUCAGUAUGUUUAUAGUAAAUUAUUGUUAGAAUUAGUAAAAAAUUUGAAUGAUUUAAUUUGAAGAAGAAGAAAUGAGAGUUGUUCUAUGUUUCCAAGAAGUGAAAAAUGUGUGUAUUUGGAUGAUUUCAAGAAGUUGGCACAUUAAGUGGGGGAAAUUGAACAAUGGUAUAUUUGGUAAAGAAACAAAAUAAAAUAUUUUAAAUUAGAAAAUAUACCUAUAUAUUUGAGACAAUAGAAAAUGAAAACUCAAUCUAUCUAAUUGGGACGGAGGGAUUAUAUGAGAGGGGGAUUUUCUUUUCUAACGUUGACACCGUUGAUUUUUCCAAGGGAGUGUUUGAAUUGCACGAAAAGUUAGCAUUUGGGUAAUUAUGUGUCCCUAUCCUAUCACUAUUAGCAAAGUUUUAUAAAGAAUAAUGCUAUACAUACAAAUUAAAAUCAUCCUCAUAUGAUAUAUGAUGUGAUCAAAUGGAGAGCGAAAUUAUAAUAUCAAUUAAAUAUUUGAAUAUGAGAUUUACUUUAGUAAUAUUAUCAUUUAAUGUCACGUAAUAUGGGGAUCACUCACAUUUUGUACAUACAAUUAAACCUCUAUAAUGCUCUUUAGCCCUACUUGGAUUGCAACUACAAUUUAGUUGGCGCUAAUAUAACAUUAAGAGUGUGUUUGAUUGACAUGGAAAAUAUCACCUAGAAAAGAAUAUGUUUUCCUUCUUUUGUGGAAAAUAAAAACCACCUUUACCCAAAGAAAAUAUUUUCCUUAAAAACAAGGAAAAUUAGGCAUGUUUUCCAAAGUUGGAAAAUGUUUUCCAUGAAAAAAAAUAGCAAUCAAACACUCUAAGUGGAAAUUUAGGUGAAAAACUGAUAUUUUUCAUGAAAAAUAAAUGUAAUCAAACACACCCUAAUUGAUAAAUAUAAUUAAAUGACUCGUUUAAUUUUUACCUUUCAUUUAACCAAUCAUGUAGUGCCACCUAAAUUGGGAUUGUAACCCUAGUAACACUACAUAACAUUAUUUUAACAUCAAUAGUCUUGGAAUCAAAUGUAGUCUAUUAAUUUGGUGAAUAUUAAAUAAUCGAUAAGUUAAUAUAAAUUUAUAGUUAUUAAUUUAUCAAUUAAUUAAUAAUUUAUUAAAUUAUCAAGGAACUCUUUAUUUUCUUUAACUUUAUAUUUAGUUUAUCGUUUCAUGAACUAAGAGUAUCUCGAAAAGACUUUGUAUUUUUAAAGAGUAUAUUCUAUCACUUGAAGAGCAUUUAUAAAUUUAGAGAGUUAAAAUUUUGAAAUAAGCCAACAAAUUCUUUAUAUUUAAUACUUAAAUUUAAUACUCCAACAUAGCAUUAUUAUAACAUUAAUAUUCUUGGAACCAAAUGUAAUCUAUUAAUUUGGUGAAUAUUAAAUAAUUGAUAAGUUGAUAUUAAUUUAUAAUUAUUAAUUUAUUGCUUAAUUAAGAACUUCUUAAAUUAUCAAGGAACUUUUUAUUUUGUUUAACGUUAUAUUUAGUUUCUUGUUUUACGAAUUAAGAGUAUCUCGAAAAGAUUCUCUAUUUUUAAAGAGUAUAUUCUCUCGCUUGAAGAGCAUCUAUAUAUUUAGAGAGUUAAAAUUUUAAAGUACUUGAACAAGCUCUUUAUAUUUAAAACUUAAUUUUACUACUCUCAAAAUACAUUUAAUAUUUUUCUCUAUCUUUUAUUCAAGCUAGCUUUUCUUUAAAAAUGGAUUGUACAUUGUUCAAUGCACUACAUAUCUACUAUAAAACCCGUUUCAUGAAAGAAGAUCUUUAAGCAACAAGAACAUCUCCAAAAGACUCUUUAAAUACAAAAUACUCUCUAUUUUAGAGAGUUAAUGCUUAAAAAUGAGUUCGAAGAAACUCUCUAAUUUAACUUUUUAAAUUAGAGAGUGUGUUUUGACUCUCCAAAUUUAAAUAUCUAAACUCACUCUCUAUUCUUAAUGUACAAUGAUUGCAUUUAAUACAUUACAAAUUUUAAUACUCUACAAUUAAAAUUUUUCAAAUUACAUUUGAAUUGAUUGGUCACUAAUAUAUAUAAAAAAUUAUAUUUAAAUAAAAUAUGUAGAGAAAUUAUUAAAUGUUCAUUGAAAAAAAUAAAAUAAAGAAUCAAAAUAGAAAGCUUUUUGGAGUGUAUCAAAAAAAUCACUCUCUAUUAUGCUUAAGAUGCUCUUUAUAAACAGAAAGUCUUUUGGAGAUGCUUUAGUGAAAUUGAAUAAUAUUUUAUUGCAUGAUGGUAAAAUUACGCUAGAACUUCUUAUAAUAUUAUUAAGAAAAUUUAGAGAUGAAACCCAAAUAAAUAUUAAUUUAAAGAAGAAGCAUAUUAUGAUUGAGUCAUAUUUUUUAAGAAGGUUUUACACUACAACAAAAGGAGCAUUUUAAGGCGUACAUUUACGGCGUGCAUUAACUACAUGCCGUAAAAAAACUCUAUUUACGGCGUGCUAAUCAUGUAAGCUGUGGAAAAUCAACUACUAAAACCAUUUAUGGCGUACAUUAAUCGCACGCCGUAAAUGUGAGAUUUUACGACGUGCUUGUUGGGGGCAUGCCGUGUUAGAAGAAAUAAAUUUCACUUAUUUCGGCACACAUAUGCACGCCGUAAAUGCCGUCCAUAUUUCCCCCCUUUUACUUUCCCUCGUUUCAUUCAACGUUUCCAUAUAACUUCUUCUUCCCUAGUACCUACUCUUUUUCCUCCCUCUUAUCUCGCUUUUUCCCCAAAUCCCCUUCGCUUUCUUCAACCCUAAUCGUUAUCGUCCAUCUAUCCGUGACUUCCGCCUGAGUGUUGUCGGCUCAUGUGACUUGUGAGCCAUUUCUUCUCUCUUUUUUCUGAGUUUUAGUACAUUUAUGGAUUGAUUUGUGAUUUAUGUAUAUAUUAAUUGGUGAUUUACAGAUUUAAUAUUGUAAUUUGUGAAUUUGUGAUUUGGGGUUUGAUUUGCUAUUAUUGAUAAUCUGUGAAUUUGUGAUUUGGGUUUUGAUUAUUUAGGUUAGUUAACAUCCUGUGGCCAUACUCGUUACAUUUUCUAGUUUCCCAACAAUGUACAUGUUUCUAGUGUUUGUAAUCAUCUCAAAUUGUUGGAACUACUUCAAUCAAAUAUUUUAAAUGUGAUGAUAUGGGCAAGCUAUAGUCUCCCAGAUCCUACAUUCAAAAUGCCUUUUGACCAGCAUAUCUUGCUGUCUCAUAUCCAAAUAAAGGAGAAAAAGAACAAAGAUUUUUUUUGACAUUUUAUCUUUGCUACAAUUGAAGUAUGCUAUUAAUAAACAUCAAUCUGCAGCUUAGCCAUAUGGAGUUUUAGUUGCUUUCAUGGGUUCUUUUUUGGUGAUUCAGUAUGCCAUUUAUAUACAAUGACUAGUAGUCGGGUUCUUAGUUUAGUAUACUAAAGUAAGCCCUUAUGUGCAUCAUAUUUAGAUCAAGAGCUUCUCAAUGGCAUCCUGCAUUUCACAAGAUAAAGAUUUUAAUAAAAUUGUUAGUAAUUUGUGGAAAUUGGUGAACUUGUGAGAAAUGUAAAACCAUUCACAAGUUACCUUCAAUUGCAGAAUUCAAGAUUUCAAUUGGCUUCCCUUAUUGCUUGUCACAGAACAAGUAAUUACAGGUCUCGUAACUCUGCAUGCAUGAUCAAGAGCUUGCUUUGAUGGGACAAAAACAUAAGGCACAUUCUGCAAUUUGCAUCCAAAAACUUAGUUGUUUUGAGACGUUGAAAAAUGAAACUUUCAAUUUUUCCCAAUUUGACCAACAGAGUAAUAAGUGAGUAAUGCGUCAGAAGCAACAAUCAAUGAUGUGUUUGGAAGUCGGAGAUGUACAAGACGAUGGAAUAAGGAAAUUAAGAAGUUCAUUAACACCACUUAAUCCGCAUACACCCAAUACAAUCUCAAAAAUUUAAUAAAAAAAGGGGUAAAAUCAUAAUGGUGCUUCCGGUUUUAGUAUAAUGUCAGUUUGUUACUUCAAGCAAUAGAAACGGAAGGCAACAAUUUCGCUAAAUUCUAGUACAUCUGCCACAUGCAAUGUUAGAUUAAAAGUUAUAGACCAUUAAAUAAUAUACAAUAUUGAGCAUGAAGUAGAUGCACAGAAGGGUUUACUUUAGUAUGUUUAGAAUUCUUAGAAGUACUAAAAGCGUGCUUUGGAAGUGUUUAUUAAUGGUUCAAAUUAUAAAUGGAUAGGAAUUAGGAGUAGAUAAAUUGGUAGUACUUGUGUGUCUCUCAAAAUGUGUGGAUAAGUUUUUAUAAACAAUUUAUAAAUAUGAGCAAAACUUAGGCUUAGUUGUUUGCAGUAUACUGUAUAUAUGGCUGCAUUACUUAAUAGACCACAUUUUUCUGUUCAUUUUUCGUUGUUUACUCCCUCCCUAUCUAUAUUUCUUUCUUGUUUGGAAAGAAAGAUCUUCUCUUCGUGUUCUUUUUGUGAACAAUGAUACGUCAUUUCUAGUCUGGGUAAGUUGCUAAUUCUCUAAAUGGUAGAGAAAGGUGCAUGAUGUUGUGUACAAUUCUGUUAAUGUUGCUGUCUCUUUUUCAAUUGUUUCUUAUUCCUCUGUGUUGUGGCACCCAGAAAGUCUCACCAGAAAAAAAAUUCUGUUGUCGCCUAAAGCUCCUAAAUUAUUCUAUCAAAGUAAGAUACUGCACAAGUGAAUGGUCUUAAUCCUGAUAGUCCAGCUUAUCAUCUAUCUACUAUAAUGGGGAAUCCAUUAAUCCUGAUAGUCCAGCCUAUCAUCUGCUACUCAUCCCAUUAGUUUAAUACCUUAUUUUGUUCACGACUAAUUUCUCUUUUGCUCAUUUAAUGCAAGAAGCAAUGUUAUUCUAAAUUUACAUAUAAUUUCUAUAUUCAAAAUAAUAAAUUUUACAAUUGGAUAUGAAUUUUACAGCCUAGAGACAUAAGUUUGAAUGGUUCAAAUAAUCUUCAAAAUAGGAAAUGCAAAUUGUUAUCUUGGUUUGGAAAAACUGAUGAUGUUGCAAAAGGUGAAAUCGCAUCAACGAAUCCAAAUGAUUUGGUGCAUCAUGUUCUACUUGGGAAUGAAUGUUGGAGAGUGGGUUAAUGAAGUGAUUGAUAAUGUCAACUUAUAUCGUCCUAAAUGUGAGUUUUUUCUUCUUGAAGAUGCAUUAGGAAGUACAAUAGCAUGGCCAAUUAGGUACAUCGAAGUGGAUUCACUGUAAUCACAACAAAGGUAAGCUUAACUUCUUUUCUAUUUUAAUUUCACAAUUCAUUAGGCAAGUAAUGUUACAAUUUAGGUCUCCUAGCUUUCCUGCUUUUGUGGGUCUUAACACUUUUAACUGGCCAUUGAUUACCAUUGAGUGGAACUUGAUCACUGACAUCUGAUGAAAUUUCAGGUACAUGCAGCUUACAAAUGAGCAUUACUAAAGUCUCACCCAGAUCGAGCUCCGCAAUAUGACAUUCUUUAUAGAGUUUGAGUCUUAUCGUAACCAUGUUUUCCAUACUCGAGAUAUUUAGAGAAAGAAGUCAUUAGUUAUUAAUCAAGCUCUCAUGUGGUUGGAAAGCAUUUUUAUUUUAUUUUUUUGUUUGUAAAAUAACUUAUUUGUGUUGGUUGAACUUAUGUCUGUUGGUUGAGGGAAUGAAAAGUAUUUGUUACAUUGGUUGGAAUACUUUAUUUAUAUGAUAAAUGUUUGGGUUAAUUUUUUCAUCUAAGCUUAGAAUAAUUAAUUAGUUUAAUGUUGUUUAUCAUGCUAGGUUGAACUCAAAAAUAUUUUUAUUUUCAUCUUAGUCGAGUUGGAAUUGAAUUUGUGUAAUUAUUAUAGGUGCUGGUAAUCAAAUAAAUAAAUAAAUUUUUAAAAAUUAAAUUAAAAUUUACGGCGUGCAGAAAGCACGCCGUAAAUGCUAUCAGGUCACCUUUCACAGUCGCACGCCGUUAAAAGUAAAGCUCCCAUUUACGGCGUGCUUGUACACACCAUUAAAAGUAAAAAGUUCGUAUUUACGGAGUGCAUAUGCACGCCGUCAAAAAUCGUAUAACUAAUAACGGUGUUCGUACACGGCGUAUAUUGCACGCCGUAAAAAGUGGAUACCUUUUACAACAUUGCUUUAUAUGACAUGCCACUGCACGCCAUAAAGGUGUUUUUACGACGUGCAAUGCACGCCGUAAAAAGUGUUUUUUGUUGUAGUACAUGUAGCCUACUGAAUUUUUUUUGAGAUGCUCAUUCCUAGUUAACCAUUUUCAAAGUAAUCGGAGAUCCCGCUGCAGUUUGGCAUGAAUGGCAUGUUUUAUUUUUAGAAAAAUUUAUCCUUAUGUUUUAGGUUGCAACUUUUAUGUUUAAUAAUCAUUGGUAUCCCUGCGAUUGUAGUUUGAAUUCAUGUUUUGAGACAAAAAAAAAAGUUUUAAUGUUCUUGUGUGUUUUUUUGAAGAUUUCAGAAUUUUGCCACUAUUUUUAACAGUGUGCUAUGGUCAAUAAAUUUGGGAUAUUUUAAAUUAGUGUUUCUUGAAAACUUGAAGACUGAAUUGAUAAUGAAAUUGCUUAAUAAUCUUUCUUAUGGUGGUUUAUUCAGUUCAUUGAGUUACACUACUGGAAACUAAAUAUUUCCAGUUUCUGCCUAAGUUAAAAAUUCAUCCAGACCUAAACACUUGGAAUUUUGAAGUGAUUCCAAGUUGGAAAAGAUAGUUAUAUGAGUUUAUCUAUCUCUUGGAUUUAGAAUCAUGAAUUUUGGAUCUAUAAAACUCAAGUUAUAAACGUUUUCUCGAGAGCCGUUAGAUUGUACCCGAGAACAAAUAGCUCUGGUUUAGAAACAAUUUUGAUCAAUCUAUUGAUUGAAUUUAUAUAAGAAAAUUUAACAUGUAAUUUCCCUAUGUGUAUGAUGUAUCCAAUUUAAAUUUUGUAAAUUCUGGACUCAAUUUAUUUGUCGAACGAGUUUUAUUUCUGAAAGUCGUACAAAUUGAAAAUCUAAACUCUCCGAAAGAAAAAUUUCUUUAAUUUUUUAUGAGUUCUCUGAAGCCUUAAUGUCUUAUUAUAAGUUAAAUUUCUACAUUUUAUGAACUAUUUAGGUAGAAUUUCAUAAAUUUAAGAUUCUUGUAAUGUCACAAGUUCCCAGAGCUUAGGGCGUUACAGUUUGGUAUUAGAGCGUAGUUUUCGUUCUUGUAGACUUGCAAAACAUAAAUUUGAUUUCCAAAACUUUAAGAAUUGUGUGUGUCAAAUAAAUUUUUGUUACCAUCAUGCUUGCCACUACCACAAAUCGUCGGUUCUAAGAGAGAGAAAGUUUUAAGAAAUUUAUGCUAUGUUAUGAUAUUUGAAAUGUUUAUGUGAUUUUAUAUAUUUAAGUCCCGAGAAUUUAUGUUUAAGGAAGUCAAGUUUGAGAAUAUGAUGGGGAUAUUUAUGAAUUUUUAGAACAUAACUAAAUUAUAAAUGUUCAUUUUAGUCUUCUAAAAGAUAUUAGAAACCCACCAAUUUGGACUUUAUAAUUAAUUUGGCACAAAUGGCACGGACUAAGAGAACAUGUAGGAAAACAUGCUCAAUGAUACCUUGUCGAUAUGAGAUUUUGAGGCAGUACGAGGAGUAUCAGUGGAAUCCAGCGAAUGAUAUGGGCUGGCACAUUAGAGAGAUGUUGGUAAGGUGGAGAGAGGUAAGGCAACUAGGAUACAUGGUCACUGGUCGUUGGGCUACCCGUUUCCUUAUGGAUACAUUGCCAGAAGAAUGGCUAGAGAUGGCCGAAUCAAUUUACAAUUACUUGUUGGGAGUUACUAUACCCACUUUGCCUCAAGAGAUUGACUAUGAGGCCUUUCGCACAGAGCAAACGGUACAGUGGGAACAGGCUCGAGAUGAUGCACUUGUAUAUCCUUGAGGGCAAUAGAGUACCUACUGAGAUGUACAUUUGUGAGGAUGCACCUCCACCUAUUUCAGAUGAUGAAUCGCAGCCUUCCAAGAAAUCUAGGUUCCACGGAGGUUGGAUUGAUGAUGAUGAUGAUGUUAAGAAGAAUUAGUGCCAGAGAUUUUUUAGUAAAUUUUAUUAGGCUUAGAUCAUGCCAUGUUGAGUAGGAUUUCCUUUUGCUUUUCAGUUGAUUAGUACCAAACGUUCUUUCAUUGAUUGUAUUUUCUAUAAAAGACUUGUUAAUUAUAAAAUUGGUUAUUUCCUAAUUAAAGUUUCUCAUUUUACUAUGCAAUGUGUGUUUUUGUGAUUUACCUAAAGAUUACAAACUAUUCCAUUUUGUAUGAAAGAAAUGGCACAAAUAUCACACAUGAGAGCAAUUAGAGAAUUGCAACAAGUAGUAGAAGAAAUGAGACGGGUCCUAAUGGCACAAGCUACUCCAGCAACACCAGUGGCUCCGAUCGAACAAGAUGCACCAGCAAUACCACCUAUCACAAUACAAAUUGCCCCUAUAUCACCCCCUACUCCAUCACCAACCACUGCUCUAAUUCUACCAAUCAUUGAGCAGUUUCAUCGAUAUCGCCCUCCUAGCUUCGAUGGUGGUGUUGACCCUUUGGCAGCAGAGGAAUGGCUUUGCACAAUUGAGAAGAUCUUUUGACACAUCUAAUCCAGAAAAUUAGAAGGUGUUGUGUGCAGAAUUCAUGCUAGACGGAGGAGCCAACCAUUGGUGGGAAUCCGCAUCACGUACACGGACAGAGAAAGAACAACGUAAUAUAACAUGGACCCAAUUCAAGAUGGAGUUGACUGAGAAAUAUUUUUUGCAAGCCCUUCGCAACCACGAGGAGACGAAGUUUUUACAACUAAUACAGAGAGAUAAGGACAUUGCUGAAUAUGACAGGAAGUUUGAGGAAUUAUCAUGUUAUGCCCCACAUCUUAUAAGUACGGAGCUCUUGAAAGAAAAACGCUUUGAGAAGGGACUUCAUCCUGAGAUUAGGCAGAUAGUGAGUUUGCACGAACUCAUCACUUAUUGAGAAGUUGUAAAGAAGGCCUAAACUGUAUCAUUCUCAAUUUUUAAACUUCGAACCCAGGGACUACAGAAUGAUACUGGAAAAAGGAAAUGGCACGAUUAGGGUAAGGAUAAGAGCUCCGAACAGUUUAAGAAGCAAAAUAACGAGCCUAAUAGUCGACAAUUAGACAAUCAUUUUCCUCCAUGCCCUAAGUGCAAGAAAUCCCAUAAGGGUGAAUGUUUAUUUGGCAAGAAUGUUUGUUAUAAGUGUGGCCAGACAGGACACUAUGCUUCAGGAUGUCGGGCAUCGCCAAUUAAGGCUGCUAAACAAGUGAAGAAAGAGAAUGUGAGAAUUUUUAUCAUGACAUAUGAUGAGGUCACCUAGGAUCCAGACGUAAUUACAAGCAUUUUAUCUAUUUACGAUAUUCCUAUUUACGUUCUUAUUGAUUCUGGAGCGACGCGUUCGUUUAUAUCUGUAACAUGCUUAGCAAAUAUCAAUAUUUCAUUUGAGAAAACUAGUAGUACACUAGAGGUUAGUACGCCAUCGAGAGGAGUCAUUGAUACAAAUAAGAUUGCUAAAGCUGUACAAAUGGAUUUUGAUGGGUUAAUCCUUGAGGCAGAUUUACAUGUCAUAGAGCUAAAAGAUUUUGAUAUUAUCUUGGAUAUGGAUUGGUUAGGUAGUAAUAGAGCUACAAUUGUAUGUUUUGAGAAUGGAGUGAUCUUCAAAAGACCUCGAAAUGAAGAGUUUAGAUUUUAUAGGUCAAAGAUUUAGGCAAUUCCUCAUCUUAUCUCGACUAUGCAAGCGGAAAAGCUAUUAAGGAAGAAAUCAAUCGAGGAUAUUUUGUUAGUCUUACUGGUACACCAUCAAAAAGAAUUAACAUAGGAUGAAGUGCCUGUUGUGUAAAAAUACAAUGACGUAUUUCCUGAUGACCUAUCCGUGUCCCAAUUGAUGGACAAGUAAAGGUUACAAUAGACUUGAUACUCGAAGUUGCACCAGUGUCUAAGGCUCCAUAUCGCAUGGCACCAAAAUAAUUACAGGAGUAAAAAAUGCAAUUGGAAGAACUUCUAAAUAAAGGCUUUAUCAAACCAAGCGUGUAUCCAUGGGGAGCUCCGGUAUUUUUUGUGAAAAAGAAAGAUGGACCCUAUGAGAAUGUGUAUUGACUAUCGAGAGUUGAAUAAGCUGACUGUAAAGAAUAAGUAUCCUCUCCUAGGAAUUGAAGAUUUAUUUAAUUAAUUAAAUGGUGCAACUGUAUUUUCAAAGAUUGAUUUGAGGUCAGGCUAUCAUCAACUAAAUAUCAAGCCGAGUGACGUACCUAAAACAUCAUUUAGAAAUCGCUAUGGACAUUACGAGUUUACAUUUAUACCAUUUGGACUUACUAAUGUCCCUGCGAUAUGUAUAGAUCUGAUGAAUAAAGAUUCCAUCAGUACCUGGACAAAUUCGUUAUUGUGUUUAUUGAUGACAUACUAGUGUAUCCAAGAGAUUCUCAGCAGCAUGAAAACCAUUUGAGGACCAUUUUAGGAACUUUACGUAAGGAAAAAUUGUAUGCCAAAUUCAAGAAGUCUGAAUUUUGGCUAGAUUGAAUAGGAUUUUUGGGACACAUUGUGAUAGCCAAUGGUAUAGAAAUAGGCACGAGUAAGGUUGAAGCUGUAACUAACUGGCAAAGACCUACGAAUGUUGGAGACGUAAGGAGCUUCCUACGUUUUGCUAGAUAUUAUUGACGAUUUAUAGAAAGCUUCUCUAAGAUAGAGGGUCCUUUGACAGAAAUAACUCGAAAGGGUGUGAAGUUUGUAUGGACUGAAAUGUGUGAACAGAGCUUCCAAAAAUUGAAAGAUAGAUUAGUAUCUGCUCUAGUGUUAGCAAUUUCGGAGGAAUCGAAGGGAUUUGUUCUCUAUAGUGAUGCAUCAAAGCUGGGUUUGGGUUGUGUUUUGAUGCAAUGUGAAAGGGUGUAGCCUAUGCAUCAAGACAAUUAAAGCAGUACAAGAAAUAUUAUCUAAUGCACAAUUUAGAACUUGCAGCGACAGUUCACACCCUCAAGAUUUGGCGUCAUUACUUGUAUGGAAGUAAGUGUGAUAUUCACAGUGACCACAAGAGCCUCAAGUACUUUUUUUUACCCAGAAGGAAUUAAAUAUGAGACAACAACGAUGGUUAGAGUUAGUAAAAGAUUAUGAUUGUACUAUCCAUUACCAUCCAAGUAAAGCUAACGUAAUAGCAGAUGCUUUAAGUAGGAUGAACCUUUGUCACUUAUUAACACUAUGUACACAGCAAAAUGAGUUAAUCAAGGACUUUAAAAUCUGAGAAUAGAGGUGCUAACACUACCAGUUCAAGCAUAAGGUAAGUUGACAAGUUUGGUUCUAAAAUCAACCCUCAUGGACAAGAUUAUAGUACCUUAAAAAGAUUAAUCUUUCUUGGAAAAAAGAAGGGCUGAUGUUGGAACCGAGGAAAUGAAGGGAUUUGAAAUAAGCAAUGAUAAGACACUUAUGUUUAAAGGCUGACUGUGUGUACCUAAGGAUGAAGAAAUAAGAAAAGAGAUUAUGAUUGAGGCUCAUUCCACUCCUUACACCGUACACCAGGCUCCACAAAGAUGUACAGGGACUUACGUAAUACCUUUUGGUGGAAGAAUAGCUUUGUUCAUGUUGAAGUGUAUACAUUGUCAACAAAUGAAAGCAGAGCAUUAGAGACCAUCAGGGCUAUUAAAUCCAAUGGACAUACCAAAAUGGAAGUGGGAGAAGAUCUCAAUGGAUUUUGUAGUAGGUCUUCUUAGGCCGGUAAAAGGUCAUGAUGCCAUUUGGAUCAUAAUAGAUCGACUUACAAAACCUGCCAUUUUUAUUGAUCCGUAUGACUUUCAGAGAAAUUGUUCAACUUCAUGGGAUACCAACGUCCAUUGUGUCAGACAGAGACCUUAGAUUCACUUCAAAAUUUUGGAAGAGUCUUCAACAGCUAUGGGAACUAAGCUGUCUUUCAGUACAGUAUAUCAUCCUCAAAUCGAUGGACAGUUAAAACGAACUAUCCUAGUAUUAGAAGAUAUGUUGAGGGCAUGUAUACUAGAUUUGGGUAGUAAAUGGGAGAAACAUUUGUCGUUGGUGGAGUUUGCAUACAAUAAUAAUUUUUAAGCUACUAUCGACAUGGCACCAUACGAGGCAUUGUAUGAUCGAAGAUGUCAUUCGCCAAUAUGUUGGGAUGAGGUUGGUGAGUGGAGAAUCUUGGGUCCAGAACUUAUUGAAAAGUCUGUAGAGGCUAUAGAUAAGAUCAGAAUGAAGAUUAAGAUAGCUCAAGAUCGCCAAAAGAGUUAUGCAGAUAAGAGAAGAAAAGAACUAGAAUUUGAGGUGAGAGAAAAAAUAUUUCUUAUGGUCGCCUCGACAAAAGGGGUACUACAAUUUGGAAAGAAAGGGAAGUUGAAACCAAGAUUUAUCACCCAUUCAAGAUCCUCGAAAAGGUUGGAAAUGUAGAUAUCAUUUGGCACUGUCACCUGAGCUAUCAGCAAUGAAUGAUGUAUUUCAUAUUUCUAUGUUAAGAAAGGACAUCCAUGAUCCAAGUCACAUAGUUAAUGCUCACUCGUUGGACGUGCGGAGUGAUAUAACUUAUGAAUAAGCACUUGUAAUGGUUUUAGAGAGGAAGGUACACAUUUUGAGAAAUAGAGAAGUGCCAUUAGUCAAAGUCCAAUGAAGUAGACAUGGGAAAGAUGAGGCUACAUGGGAGAGAGAAGCAAAUGUUUUGGCCAAGUAUCCAGACCUCCUUAAUUGAAUAAAUUAAAUUUCAGAACCUUAGGUAGAUCGUUUGAUCAUCGAUUUACUUAUUUAUAAAGGCAACAUAUAAGAAUGUAUGAUGAAAUAAAUAAUUAUUAAAUUCAUAUAGCACAUGUAGCCUACUGAGUAUUUUCUUUGAAAUGCUCAUUCCUAUUUAACCAUUUUCAGAGUAAUCGGACAUACCGCGACGGUUUGGCAUGAAUGACAUGUUCUAUUUUUAGAGAAAUUUAUUCUUAUGUUUUAGAUUGUUACUUUUAUGUUUAAUAAUCAUAGGUGUCCCUAAGAUUGUAGUUUGAAUUCAUAUUUUGAGACAAAAAGGUUUUCAUGUUCGUGUGUGUUUCUUUGAAGAUUUCAAAAUGUUGCCACUAUUUUUAACAUUGUGCUAUGGUCAAUAAAUUUGGAAUAUUUUAAAUUAGUGUUUCUUGAAAGCCUGAAAACUGAAUUGAUGGUGAAAUUGCUUAAUAUUUUUUAUGGUGGUUUAUUCAGUUCAUUGAGUCAGUUUCUGCCUAAGUUUAAAAAUUCACCCAGACCUAAAUUAUGAAUUAUCUAUCUCUAGGAUUUAGAAUCAUGAAUUUUGGAUAAAUAAAACUCAAGUUAUGAACAUUUUCUCGAGAGCUAUCUAAUUGUACCCAGGAACAAAUAGCUUCGGUGUAGAAACAUUUUUGACGAAUCUAUUGAUUGAAUUUAUACAAGAAAUUUUAACUUGUAAUUUCCCUAUGUGUGAUGUCUACAGUUUAAAUUUUGUAAAUUUUAGUCUUCAUUUAUUUGUCGAACGAGAUUUAUUUCUGAAAAUCGUACAAGCUGAAAAUUUAAACUCUCAGAAAGAAAAUUUCUUUAAUUUUUUUUUUUUUUUUUACCAAUUCUCUAGGUGUUAAUGUUUUUAAUACAAGUUAAAUUUUUGCAUUUUAUGAACUAUUUAGGUAAAACUUUAUAAAUUUAAGGUCCUUACAAUGUCACGAGUCCCUAGAGCUCGUGGCGUUACAUGAGUGGUGGUUUGUUGUGGUGUUAGUGGUGAGGUGGUGGUUUGAUUUGGCCGAUAGCAGACAGGGCACAUGGGUAGUUUUGAGAAUUUUUUUUUGUUGGUUGGAAGUUGAGGUGGUAGUGUUGCGACAAUUACGGUGGCGAUGGUGGUGGCAAUAUUCGCGGUGGCAGGAGCGAUGUGGUGGUUGUAAGUUGCGGUGCAGUACAAAAGUAUUUGUGACCAGCUAUUUGGGGUUUGUGACCAAUUGUCGAGAGCUAGUGGUAGUUUUGGCGACGACGAUGGUGGUGGUGGUGCUACUAAAGGCAGUAGUGAGAUGGUGGUCACAAAUUAUUUGAUCAACUGUGAUCAUUAAAUUGGUUAAUUUGUGACUAAUAAAAGAGAUUGAAUAGUAACCAAUAAAUAAUGUGUGAUCUAAAAAAUUGUUAAUUUUGAUCGAUACUUUGAUAAUUUGUGACUUAUAAUAUUUAUGAUUUGUUAUCAAUAAACAAAUUGUGACAUAUAAAAUUUUUAAAUUAUGACAGUAAAAUAAUUUAUAACAUAUAAAAAUUUUGAUUUGUGAUCGAAAAUACUAUAUGAGUAACUAAAUUUGUGAAUUUGUAACCAAAUUGUAUAAAUCUAUGACUUUAAUAUAUUUAAUUAAUAAAAUAUCUAAUUAAUUAAAUCAUAAAUAAAUUGUAAUAAUAUUUGAUUUUUGAAAUAUGAAACUUUUAUUCUUAAUGUUGAAAUAGAUGAUAGUUAACAUCUUAUUUACGAUUUUUUUUCCCCAUAAUUAUUUGUAGCUCAUGUGCUUGUGUCAUUAUCAAAUCAACCAACGGAUUAGAUAAAGACGUCCGAAACUUUGGACCACAUAUCAAAUAGAAAAAUCAUUAACUGGAACUAAAAUGUUGAGGACCAAUAAUCCUAUAAAAGAUGAAUUGGAGACUUGUUUAUGUUAUUUUUAGAAACAUUAAGGAUUGAGAAUGUAAAAUUUUCAAAACAUGGGGUCCCACUACAAGAGAUAUCCAGUAUUCUAGUCACAAAUUAGGCACGUGUUUGAUUCUCAUUAUUAAUAAAAUAUAUUUUCCUCUCUCUUCUUUUUAAUCGCAUAUUUUUUAUUAAAAAAAUAUUACAUGCAAAUCAAAAAAAUAUCACACAUUUUUUAUCAAUCCACUAGUCCAAAAAACAUUCUUUAAAAAGAAUGUGGCUCAAACACACUCUAGGUAAUAAUACUGUACCUUGUUUGAUAGGAAUUAAAUUCAAAUCUUUAGUAAAUUUUGAUUAAAGUUGAUAAAAUAUUUUGAUAAAAAGUCAAAAAUUCCAUUGAAUAUGUGGUUAAAAUUAAUUAUUAACUUUAAUUUAAAUUAAAAUAAAAUUUUAACCCAUACCAAACAGGUGCACAAAAUAUUUAAACUCACUAAUGAUUGUAAUUCAAAUUUGUUAAUAAAUGAAAAAUAAUGUAAAUUUACAAAUAUACAUGAUGUGAAGUAUAGAUGUCGUGAUACAUUUGGCUUCAUAUCUAGCAUGUUUUUUCUGCAAAAUUCGAGUACUUGAAAAAGUUAAAAGGUUGAUUUUAAUAAAGAAGAGCGAAAGAUUUUACAGAAUGAGUGAUAGAAUCGUGAAUGGUAAUUGACAUCAACUGUAAUUUAUGUUUAAAAUUACUUACAAAUUUGGAUCUCACUUUCUAAAGUUUUUCAAACAAACUCUAAGACUUAAGUCACGGUGCAUUUUAACUAGUAAGUUUAUCAGUAAAAUAAAUAAAGCACUUGUUCUUUUUUUUUAAAAAUAAUUUUUUUAUAAAACUCAUUUUCUAUUUUUUUUCCUUAUUUUUAACCCAUGUAUUAUCCACAAAAAUCGAUAUUUUAAAAUACACUUUCCUCCAAAAUCUCAUUUUAGUGGAUCCAUAUUAGGGUUUACCUUAAAAUUAGAUAAAUACCUCAAAAAUUAUUUUUAUUAUGGAGGAAAAAUAAAAUAUUGAGACAAAAAGGGUAAAGAGAAAAGAAAAAGGAAAAAGACAGAAAAAUGGAAUUCGGACUAUUACGUGUAUCUCAAAGAACAACCCACAUACUGUUUCUCUCUCUCUCUCUCAGACACACGCACGCAUGUUUACUCUCUCUUGACUAGACUGUUCACGAGUAAAAAGGCAAAGGUAACCCCUCUCCCAAAAAUUAGGAUUAAUAUUAGGGUUUUUCAACUCUCUGUUUUUUACUUGAGACAGUGUGUGUCUCUGUGACCUCGAGGGCCCAUAAUUUUUUCUUGGCCUUUUGAGGAUUCUUUUGGGAUUUUUGAGUAAUGGGUCAUCUUUCUUUUCUGAUAAAAUGGCAUCAUCUUCACAAGCCGUUGAAGUUCUUGAUUUUGCUCUGGGUCUUGUUUUCAGCUGAAAGCGACGUCGUUUGUGCCUCUGAUUCGGAUAAAUCUGCUCUCUUGGAGUUCAAGGAUUCAAUUUCCGACCCUUAUGGUGUGUUGACCAGCUGGAAUUUGAAUAAUACGGAUCACUGCUCUUGGACCGGGGUAUUGUGUGAUUCGGGCUAUCGGGUCGUGUCGUUGAAUAUCACAGGUGAAGGUAAUUCAUUAUCUUGUGCUAGAAUUGCUCGAUUUCCACUCUAUGGGUUUGGAAUUAGAAGGCCUUGUCUGAUUAGCAAUAACAAAGUAAAAAUCCUGGGUAAAUUAUCGCCAGCUAUUGCGAAACUCACUGAGCUUAAGGUGUUAUCGCUCCACUUCAAUGAAUUAAGCGGUGAUAUUCCUUUGGAAAUUUGGGGUAUGGAAAAGCUUGAAGUUCUUGAUCUUGAAGGGAAUUUAAUUUCUGGGUCAUUGCCGGGUAAAUUUAAGGGGUUGAAAAACUUGAAAGUUCUUAACUUGGGAUUCAAUGAGAUUUUUGGUGGAAUGCCAAGUUCACUGUUGAAUUUUAUGGGUCUGCAGAUCUUAAAUUUAGCUGGAAAUCAAGUGAAUGGGUCUAUUCCAAGGUUUAUUGGUGAGUUUAGAGAUUUGAGGGGGCUUUACUUGUCAUUUAAUCGGCUUGGUGGAUCGAUACCUGGUGAUAUAGGGGAUAGUUGUGGGAAGCUUGAGUAUCUGGAAUUGGCAGGAAAUUUCUUCACUGGAGGGAUUCCAAAAAGUCUUGGAAAAUGUAGAGGGCUGAAGACACUUCUGCUGUACUCAAAUGUUUUAGAGGAGGUGAUUCCGGUUGAACUUGGUCAGCUGGAUCAGCUUGAAGUGUUAGAUGUUUCUAGGAACAAUUUUGGUGGGGCUAUACCAUCAGAACUUGGCAAUUGUACAAAGUUAUCUGUCCUUGUAUUGUCAAACUUGUGGGAUCCUCUUCCCAACAUCUCUAGUUUUAGAGGUGAUAUCUCGAUUGAAAAGUUGGCACUUAUUGCUGAUGAGUAUAAUUUCUACGAAGGUACACUUCCAGCUGAAAUUACUGGUCUUUCUAGUUUGAGGAUGUUGUGGGCCCCUCGAGCAACUCUUGAUGGGAAGUUGCCUGAUAGUUGGGGUUUUUGCGACAACUUGGAGAUGUUGAAUUUGGCUCAAAACUAUUACUCAGGGAAAGUCUCAUUGGGGUUCAGCAACUGCAAGAAACUGUAUUUUCUAAACUUGAGCUCAAACAGACUGAGUGGGGAGAUUGUCGACAAAAUUCCUGUUCCUUGUAUGACUAUGUUUGAUGUUAGUGGGAAUUUUCUAUCUGGUUCUAUCCCCAAAUUUAGUUACAACUCUUGUGCAAAUAUCCCAUCCAUAAAUGGGGAUUUCUUGGAGCCACAGGAUCCAUCAUCUUUAUACAUCUCAUACUUUGCAGAGAGAACUCAAGUUGACAUCCCUUUGCCAUUUUUUGGCGAUGAUGCUAGUUUUGCUGUGCUCCAUAAUUUUGGCUCUAACAACCUUACAAGCACAGUUAAUUGGAUGCCAAUUGCACCUGAAAGAUUAGGGAAGCGGACUGUUUAUGCAUUUCUUGCUGGUGGAAACAAACUCACUGGAUUAUUCCCUGGAAAUUUUUUGGAGAAGUGUGAUCAGAUGAAGGGUAUGAUGGUUAAUGUCAGUAACAAUCUUUUAUCUGGUCAAGUUCCAACUGAUAUUGGAACGAGGUGCAAAUCUUUGAAGCUCUUAGAUGCCUCCGGCAAUCGAAUUUCUGGAAUUCUUCCUCCUGGUAUCGGAGAUUUGGUUUCACUUGUAGGUCUUAAUUUGAGCUGGAACCCACUGAAUGGUCCAAUCCCCAGCACUAUCACCCAAAUAAAGGGGCUUGAAUGCCUUUCUUUAGCUGGAAAUAACUUGACUGGGUAUAUUCCCGCGAGCAUGGGGCAACUAUACUCUUUAAAACUGCUUGAUCUGUCUUCAAAUUCUCUCUCUGGUGAAAUUCCUAAAGAGCUUGCAAAUUUAAGGAACUUGACUGUGCUUCUCCUCAAUGAUAAUAAGCUAUCUGGGCAGAUUCCGUCUGGCUUCACGAAUGUGACCAUGCUCUCAGCAUUUAAUGUGUCCUUCAAUAAUCUCUCUGGGCCAUUGCCUUUGAAUGGUAAUUUGAUGAAANCAGGAGAGGACCACAAGAGCUGCCAAUUGGAGGGUACUUCACAAGAUUGCUUUGGACAUAGCCCGUGCACUUGCCUACUUACAUGAUCAGUGUGUGCCACGUGUUCUUCACCGUGAUGUGAAGCCUAGCAAUAUCUUGUUGGGUGAUGAUUACAAUGCUUAUUUAUCUGAUUUUGGACUGGCUAGGCUACUCGGAACUUCAGAAACUCAUGCCACCACCGGUGUCGCUGGCACUUUUGGAUACGUUGCUCCAGAAUACGCAAUGACUUGCCGUGUGUCUGAUAAGGCUGAUGUCUAUAGUUAUGGGGUUGUGUUGCUUGAGUUGAUUUCCGACAAGAAAGCACUUGAUCCCUCAUUUUCUUCCUAUGGAAACGGUUUCAAUAUUGUUGCUUGGGCAUGCAUGCUCUUGCGUCAAGGGCGUGCUAAGGAGUUCUUCACUGCCGGGUUGUGGGAUGCAGGCCCACACGAUGAUUUGGUUGAAGUCUUACACCUGGCAGUUGUCUGUACAGUUGACUCUCUUUCAACCCGACCAACAAUGAAGCAGGUUGUAAGACGUCUGAAGCAACUCCAGCCCCCAUCUUGUUAGCAUCACACGAGAAAUUAUUGUUGACAUAAUAAAAAAGGUAAGCCCAACAGAGAUUGCAACCUCCCACUUAAUUGCUAAACUGCUCUCAGUUGUUUUCUUAUAGGUAAGGUCUUAAACUUUAGCUGCUUGUAAAUUGUAGUGCAGAUUUCCCCUUUAUCAAUGUCAUAUUUUGGAUUAGGGAGUUUACUGAUAGUUCUCUGAAUGCAAAUAUUUGUCUUGAUUUGUAUAAUUUUUUUCUAUUUGUAUCUCAUAUUUAUUUGUGUUGUUAAUAAGAACAAAGCAUCAAAAUUUUCAACAAAAAUUGUUCCACUGCUCUUACUGGAUAGGUCGUGAGGUGUCUGUAAUUUUUAUUUCAUGCCAUUGCUUUGGUUAUAUUUAGAUCUUUAGGCCGAGGAGGCAGCAAAUGCGAUAUCUUUUCCUUCUGCGAUUACAAAUUCUUGUAUCUCACCAUUGUUCUCCUUAUGUUUAAGCUGUACAUGCUCGUCUGCUGUCGUGUCCUUGCAGAAACAAAAAUGCAUGGAUGUAAUUUCUUGAAAUUACGCUUAUAUUGCAAGGGUUAUGACUGAGAAUGGUUGCAGAAUCCUUGCAGGAUUAUCUAAUGUGACCUUAUUCGUUUUAGAAGUCUGAAGGCUGAGCUGAGCCGGAGAUAUUCUUGCUCAAGUUCUACCAGUGUUUUGGUGACGCAACCCCUUAUAUUGGGCAGAGGAUGACCCUCCCGACCAACAAGAUUUCCGUCUCAAUAGCUUCAAUUGAGUACCAUCUGUGCACGGCCAUACUUUUCAGGUCCCCAAGGUGUACAGCCAGUGGUACUUGGAAGUAUGGAACAAUGUAGGCCAGGAAAAUCGACAAAAUGGCUUUGUCGCUUCUGUCAAAGAAUUGGCCAUCAAGACAGGGCAUGACACCUUUUUUGCAGGGCUCAGAAGUGAUGGCAAGCAGUACGAGGUAUCCGCAUGAUUUUUCAAGGUUCAAAAUUUUUUUUUUCAAGUAGGGGGGCUGUCCGCUUUACCCAAGGUAUGCAGAGCAUUUCUCCAACUCGUCUGAGACGAAACCUUGAUAGGGUCCAGAGCAUCUUGCUUGCAAUGCAGUUAAUGCAACACUAGUCGAUACAGAACGUUGUCGCCAAAAGAUCACGAAGCUUACGACAGAUUUUUUCCAGAGAUGAGCUGCGUUAAAUACAAAUUUAGGUCUCCACUGUAAAACAUACAGAAUUUUAAUUUUUCAUUUGAUUUUGUUCAGUAUUAACAUAAGAAAACGAACGCGAUCAGAUGCACAUAUUCUAUUCCUCUGGUUUGAUCAUCUCCAUUUAAAGACAUCACCAACGUAUGAUUUGUUUAGGGUACUAUGACUGGAAAUGACGAAAACAUACCAUAGAGGAAAUCAAACAUACUAGUAUCAAACCAUGGAACAGAAUCUUAAUGCUAUAAAUUAGGAUUCUAAACCGAGAAUAGGGUAUCAUCCUCGAUACUGAAAUAUACCAUGAUUACUUGUGUAGACAUUCUUGCUGAGAAAAAAACCAUAGUAUAUGGGAGAGAAUAACCAAAAAUAAUAAUAAUAAUUAACCCUAGGAUGAGUGACAUGCUCUCAUAGCUUAACCAAGCUACCCGUUUGGUAGCCAAGAGGGCUGGAGUUCGACUCUCAACAAGAGCAAGCUGUUAAUCAAAUUUCUUCAAUUUUCUUCUAGAUAACUUGCAGAUCAUUGCCAAAACAAGAAAGAAAAGAAACAGAACAUGGUCAUUACCCUCCGGAAGGAAGGCAGAAAAGGUACAAGGUACUACAAGAACCGAGAAUGGUUAACGACUAUGUGCCUCAAAGGAUUUGCCACGUCAUCUCCGCCGGCGUGCUUCACAAAUUCAGCCGGCGAGAGAAACUUGCCAUGACAAACACAUACUAUUUUCACCUCCUCUCCCUUCUUGUAUCGGUAUAAGAAUCCUUCGAUCUUUUUACCAUUUGGCCCGUCACCCUUUGUGGAGACACAUGGCAUAUCGAGCAUGACGUUCUUAUGUAUUUCAUUAGCUUCCUUCUCGGUAGCUCGGACAGGUUUAUGCUCAAUCUGUGCUGGCAAAGAUUGGACGCUGGGAGGGCUCUUCGCCUCAGUGCCUUGUUUUACCCCUGUAAAUAAGAAUGAUAUGUAAUGUUAAAACUUCACCUAUUAUCAUGAACAGAAGAAACAAAAACGAAUCCAUUUUUCCCCAUCUGUCAAGUUAUUUGCAAAAUUUGCUGAAAGAUUCAAAACCCGUUUGGGAAUUGGGGUGAGUACGUGAAUCCAUUUUCUCCGAGUUCAUUUCUGGAUUUACUCAAAGAUUUAAGAAAACCACAUCUACUUUAUCUUUUCCCUUCUUCUACCGAGAUCUAGUCCCUCAAGUUCAAUACAAAAAAAGCAAUAGAAUCUGAUAUGCUACAACAAUCAAGAAGCAAUUAAGCGAAAAAACAGCAUGGUUUUCAUAAAUCACAAAUCAAGCAAUUCAUCAACCCAAAAUAAGUGAAAAAAACAGAGGAAGGGGGGGAUUUAAGCGAAAAUAUACCUUCUGAGCGUUGACUUUGAAUAUCAGAAAUUCCUGAAGAACCACUUCCCUGUGAUCCAAUUGAGCUCUGUGAUAAUGGAAUUUCAUUCCCAUUUGAAUUAACAUUAAUUCUUCCUUUAACAAUCCCAUUAAUUUCACAGUUGUUGUUAUUUUUGUUAUUAUUAUUGUCUUCAGAAGAAUUUGCCCCCAAAUCGACCUUAUCUUUCACCACUCGUCCAUUAUUCAACUUCUCUAAUCUCUUCCUUUUCGCCUCCAUUCGCCUUAUUGACUGCAACUCCCUCCUCUUCCUUAGCUCCUCCUCCGCCUCGACCGGCAGCGAACAAGUCCUCGUCAACGGCGUGUACACGUCAACCGACACCCCCACCGCUUGUCGCCCACCAUCAUCGCCACCAGCACCCACCGUGAAAACCAAAUUUGAAAUUGAAGAAGAACGUUUCACUUUUUUGGCUGCCCUUUUCGGGUCCACACCAAAUCUUCCAUUCGUAGAUAGUCCCAAACUCAACUCUAUUUCUUCAUUUCCAUCAUUGUCUUCUUCUGUUGAGAAAGAGAAACGUUUUCCGUUCAUAUAUUUGUGCAAUAUAUCCAUUGAAAAUCCAUUCUUUUUCAUGGAAAGACCAAAUUUUUCUCUAUUUUCAUUCAUCAUUCAUACAUAAAAUAAAAUCUUCAGAAAGAAAAAAACUGGAAAAAAAUUAUGAAAAAUAGAAAAUAUUUGUGCAGAGGGAAAUCGAAAAUGGAGAGGAAAACUUGAGGAAAAGAGGGAGUUUUUAAUUUCAAUGGCGGAAUGUAAAAUGACGAAUUUGUCCCUAAAGAGUAGCGUAAAUGCCUUAGAAAUGUGAAACGUGGUCGUACUGACCAGGUCUCGUAGGACGUCUCAUAAACAGGCGUCUACCAUUUGGUAAGUUUAAGGAAACGUGUCCGUUUCUGGAUGCUAAUUAAGACUGCCACGUGUCCAUGACACAUUGACCUCGUUGUCCGGCGAUGUUCUAGUUUCUCUAUCUAUGACUGCUGCUAGCUGUAGAGCGGCGUGGCGAGCUUUGAAGAUGACACGUGGAAAGAAUAUUUUGAAACGCGAGCUGUAGUACUCUCGAUGACAUGCCGACACGUAGAUUUUCGUUAUUUAAUUAUAAUAUAUACAAAUUGUCAUUAUUAUUAUCGAAAAACUUUAUAGAACGUAUCUUAUAAACUUAAAAUUUAAUAAUAUACGAGAUUAAUAUAUAUUGUGAUUAAAUUUUGUAACUACGAUCCAAAAGUUUUAAGUACAAAAAUUUGAAAGCAAGAAAAUGAUAUUCAUUGCAAAAUUUAAAUUAUAAGCAAUGCAACAAGUACAGCAAUUUCGAUAUCAUAAUUGACAACCUCUCACAUACAAAAGGUGGGAUUCACGAUUAAAAAAAUAUAGGUCCCACAAUUGUGAGAACUGUAUACGUAGCAUUUUUCUUAAAUUAUUAAUAGAUUCAACUAAAGUAGUGGAAAAUAUUCUAUGUUUUUUAUAUAAGCAAGUUGGGUUUAUUAGACAACGUUAUGAUAUGAUCCAUUGUAUGAAACAAAACUGUCCUCAAAGAUAGUUUUCACAAAGUAAAUAAUUCAUGCAACUUGCACACCUUUUUUCAUAGUAAUUUAAUGCCAAUUUGCAAUGAGUAUGAUGUCAAUUUUCAAAAGAAAGAUGUGAAAACUACCCAAAAGUUACAUUAUUAUCAUUGUUUUAUUUAAAAUUUAACUUGUACUUUUAUCGAUUUGAAUUUUCAUAAAAGUUAUGUUGCACGAUAUAAAGAAAAAAUUUGUUUGACUAAUUGAGCAUAUGUCUCAACUGACUUUUUAAUAAUGGUCUAUUAUUCAAAUGCAUUUAAAUUAGCAUUGUGAUUGAUUAGAUAUGCGUGAUACGAUGAAGUUUAUGAGAUUAAUAGGAUUGAAAAGAAGGGUACAUAAUAUUUUCUUUUUAGAGAAAUUUGCACCUUUCGUCUCCAAUUUUUGUGAAGUGUGAUGAAUCUACUCUCAACCUUUUUAAGAGCAUAUCCUUUUGCAACCUUUCUAUCAUAUAGUCGAGCUCGUACUUUUCUUCAUUUCGGUCAUUAAAUGACAGAUUUUCCCUCCUCCUUAUAUAAAUAAAAAGAAAGAAAGCAAUAAAACAACAAAAAAAUAAGAAAAACUGCGAAGGAAUCCCAUAACUUUUCAAAAAUAUAAAUAAAUCCCUCUUUAAAUAAUUAAAUAUAUCAAUAUACACAAAAAUUAGAAGGAAAAAAAAAGUAAAUAUUUCAUCUUCUCCAACCAAACAUUUAGCUUUUAUAUGAGAUAUGAAAGCUUAGAUUCGAAUUACAAGCCAUCAAUAUCCUUUCUUUAUUUUCAAACAAAUUGGAAUCAACCUCUAUGUGAUGAAUGCUAGAUUUUUACAACUUGUAAUUUUUACUGUUUGUUUAUUCUAUUCCACUUGAAACCUUCAUUUUCUGAUGAGUUGUAAAUAGUCAUUGAUGAUGUCCAAGUAAAAUGGAAUUAUACAUUUUUGAGAGCAAAUGUCUACAAAUAAAUGAAUAUUACCAAUAAAUGAGUGGACAAAAUGAAACAAUUGAAAAUUUUUGUUCAUUAUAUAGUUUAAUAUUAACUUGUCAAACUAGUGCAUAUUUAACCCUUGUUAGAGUCCCCUUUUUUUGGCGAGAAUGAAUUUUUGAAUAGUGUACUGAUGGAAAGUGUGUGAUUAAAAAAUUAAAAAAAAUUAUAUUUGCAUUGAAAUAAUGUCAAAAUACUGUUGAAAAAUGUCGUUUUUCAAAAGAAUGGGCCUCAAACAAGCCCACUAAUAAAAAAAACCUUAAAUCAUUGAUGACUAAACCCUUGUUUGAAUCCCAUUUUGGGGGGGGGGGGGGGGGGGGUUUUUUAAAUNNNNNNNNNNNNNNNNNNNNNNNNNNNNNNNNNNNNNNNNNNNNNNNNNNNNNNNNNNNNNNNNNAAUUUUUGAACAUUAUAUAAAUAAAAAAUGUGUGGUUAAAAAAUUAAAAAUUUUGAAUUUACAUAUAAUAUUAUUUUAUUAAAAAAUAUGUGAUUGAAAUGAUAUCAAAAUACUGAAUAAGAAUUCAUUUUUUUUCAAAGAAUGUGAAUCAAACGAGGACUAAAUACAGUUAAUAAAUAUUAUAAUGUCAAUUUGGUCCAUAAAGAAUUUCGCGGCAAAAAAGCAAAGAUAAGAUAUAAAAUCAAGAAAGAGAUUUCGAUUGGACCCUCACAAAUCAUAUGGGGCUUCAACUUGCACUUUUGAAAAGGUAUUGUCUGCCACGUGGUGGUUGUUUGUUGCGGAAUUACACGUGUUAAGCUGUGGUUGUAGAUCAACAGCUAAGCAGAACACAACUUGCUGAAAGCGACGUCGUAUUUGAAUAACCAAGUGGAAGUUAAAAGUAAUGAUUAAGUCGUGCGGGUUACCUUCACGUCUUGUCAAAUUUUUCUGUUUAUCAAGUGGGUCGGGACUUGCUGUGAACCAAGAUUUUGUUGGGAAAAUUGUGAGGGAAAUUUUUGUCUUUAAGAAAUUAAACUCCUGUUUAUUUUUCAUUUUAUUUUCAUUAAAAUAAAAAAUAUGAUCGCUAUUUAUCACAUUAAAUCACUAUAUUUGAAUUUCUAUCUCUUAUAUAGGGCCCAUAAUAGCUAAUUUUUCAUUCUCACUUUUAUAAAAAUGAAAAACAAACACCCCCUAAAUAUAAUCCAUGUCAAAAUUAAUUUCAAAAAUCAGAUUUUAAUUAAUUUUUAUUUAUUAAAUACUUAAUUAAAAUAUAUUUUAUUAUUUCAAUGUAUUAAGGUCACAAUUCUAUAUUAUUUAGUCACAAAUUAUUGAAUUAACUGGUGACAGAUUAUUUCUCAAUCAUGAAUCAAAAUUUUAGAGAUCACAAAUUAUUUACUUCACAAACAAAAAAUUUUAAAGGUCACAAUUUAUUUAUCGGUUACAAAUUAAAAAAAUUAUAAGUUACAAAUUACAAAUUUUAUAAGUCAGUAUUUAAAUUUUUAGAUCACAUAUUAUUUAUUAGUCCUAAAAUAUCCAAUUUAUUGGUCACAAUAACUAAAUAAUUUGUCACAAUCUCCCUUUAUACAACCCCAAUCCAAUACAGCCUCAUCACCACCACCACCACCAAAACCACCAUCUCACUACCAUCGCCCUACUAAGAAUCAAAACCACCAUCUCCACCACACCACCACCAACCAAAAUUUCUCCAAACCUACCAUCGCCGUCGCCAUCAUCACAACCUUCGUAGCCGAUCCACAACUAUAGCUAUCGCCACCACCAUCUCACCACCACCCCCGCCUGCUAAAAUUCACCAUCUCUUCCACCUUUACCCCACCACACCACAAACAUACCCCCACCAACAAAAUCCCUAAACUUGCGGUCACCAUCUGCACUUUCAAACAAAUCAACCUCCAACUCUGGCUACCACAAAAUCAGAGAAAGAAAGAGAAAAUAAUUUUUUGUAACGAUCACGACGUUUGGCCCAUCGACUGGGACGGUUGAUCGCUACUGAUAUCAUCACCUUUGCUAGUGCGACAAUUGGCACAUCGACUCGCCAUUGUAUUGUACGCAGCGGCACUCGAAAAGUCGAUCACCGUUGGCAAUACCAUCACCCAUGCAGAGGUACCAUCAUCGCAGAGCUAAGCUGUGGUGAUACCAUUGCCAUUGCACACGAUAGCCUACCCAUCGACUCCGACAGGUUGUGCAUGUGUGAGAGAUGGCGAUGGUUGGUUGGUUAUGUUGAAUUAGGUAGCAUUUUAGGGUUUUGCGUGGGGGGGGGAGAGAGAGGAGAUGAAAAAUUAAUUAGGGUUUGGGAUGAAAUUUGUAUUAUAAUAUUUAAUAUUUAAAUAUGAAAUAUCUGAUUUUUGAAUAAUGAAACGUUCACCUUAAUUUUAGAAUAUUGAUCUUUAAAAGCAGGGUGAUAUGUAAGUUCCAUAAAUCUUAAUUUGUUAUGUGGGCCUCUAUAUGUAACUAAUCGUGUUGAAGGCUAUUUAAAAUUAAGUCCAAAAUUAAAGUGAUAUAAUAAAGAAUUAAUUUGUUGGGUUUAGAGUAUCUAAAUAAAGUGUGGUUUGGAUUUUAUGUGUAGAAAUCAAUUUUCUUUAUAAUUGUAUUUUUUGAUGGACGAAAUACAUAUAGAAAUUAUAUGUAGUGUUAUGGUCCCCAAUUCAUAUGCAAUUUUUCAUUCUUUAUGUCAUCCUAUCAAUACAAGAGUACAAGAGAAAGCAUAUUAAAGAAGAAGAUCCAAUACCCACAAUCAAUAAUCAAGAAGAAGUAAUUCAAGAAUCAAGAUUAUGGAUUAAGAAGUAAAAACAAGAAUAAGAAUUAAAGAAUCAAAUAAGGCAAAUUUCAAGAUUAUAAGUGAAGAAGCUAAAGAUAAAAAGAUUGCAGCUCAAGAUUGAUGAUUCGGAAUCAAGAUCCAGUAAUAAAGAAUCAUUCAAAAAGAAUUAAUGUAUGUUCUGCAUUAUUAAUUUUCUUGGUGAUUUGACAUAGAGGAUCUUGAUAAUAAAGGAAUUUAGGUUUUUUAAGUUCUAAAGUUUCUAAUUUUUAAAGUUUAAAAUUUCAACAAGCGGUAUCAAACCCGACUCAAUGUUAAACCAUUGUGAUUAACGAAAGAAUUUUGUGGUUGAAAUUUAUAUAUUGAGUUUUUGAAUCUUUUUAAUUUGGAAUAUCAAUUUUAGUCAUAAAUUUUGAAAUUCAGAAUUUUUCAAGAAAGAAUUUUAAGGUUAAAAGUUAUAAUUUGGAUUUUCCAAUUUAAGAUAUAAAUUUUAACCCUAAAAUUCAAAAAUUCAAAUUUUUUUCGGAUUUUUCGAAAAUUAUGGUUCAAAACGGCUGCCAUAGCACUUACGGCACUAGCCUUGCAUUGUAGCGUCGAAUUUUAGGUAUUUUUUUCUUUUGGCCUCAAAAGAGAAAUAUAUAAAUAUAAAUGUAAAGGGACAAUCAAUUUCAAUUUUUGGUACUUAAUAUUUAUUUCGAAUUACUAAUUUUCUAAAAUAGAUUAGUUGAAACAACAUAUUACCAAAAUAACCUCUCUUGCCUACACUAAUUUAUUUGACAUAUUAGGAAGGUUGUGUGUACAUAAUUCAUGCAGAUAUUUACCAGUCUAAAGGAAAGUCAAUAUUUGGCGAAUUACUUGCACACAUAUAGUAAUAAAUACGUGACAAUUGUAAAACUUUUCAUUAUGUGAAUAUUGAGUCGGCCCAAAAAUAAACUUAAUGUUUGACUGGAUUUAUUGUCAAUAUUUGAUUACUAUACUAGGAAUAUCACUUACAAGUUGAUAUUUCCAUCUAAAGACUAAAUAUCAAUAUUGUGCUCGAUCUUUUGUGAUAGAACCACCAUUAUUUGAAAUUAUUGACUGUCCAAUACGAAUUUUCAUGUGAACAUAUUAUUUAGGUUUAGAUUUUCUAUUUGGUUAAUCCAUCUACUUCUGCAAUAUCUACCAACAUCAAUUCAAUUCCUGUGCUUAAACCAAAGUUUAAGGGCUGAAAAGAGAAUAUUUAUAUUGUUCUUGGUGACAUGAAUUUAGACCUUGCGAUCCACUACUCUUACGAAUAAGAGUUUCACUAAUAAAACGGGACUUGAAUAAGUGAGAUCGUUCAGACUGUAUAAGUUUUAUGAUUAUGAAGCGUGAAAUUCCAGCAACAUUCAGUGGCGUUGUGUUCGAUAAGGUAACCGUCAAGAAAUUUCUUAAAGAAGUAUUCGAAAAUGCUUUGCGAAUAAGCGAUAAGGUUGAAACUAGUACUCUCCUAGGAAACUUGGUUUCACUAAAGUAUAAAGCUAAAGAAAAUAAAGAGUGCAUCAUGGAUGUGCCUCAUCUUGCUUCAAAAUCAACCAUAUUAAAGUUUGAGCUGUUUGAUAACUUGCUCGUGUAUAUGAUUUUGAUUUCUCUUCCUGCAUAAUUUGAUUAAUUUAAGAUCAAUUAUAGCUGUCAAAAGGGGAAGUAGACUCUUAAUGAGCUCAUUUUCAGGUUGUGCAAGAGAAAACUGGAAGUAUCACUUGACCAGUACUUCUAAGGACAAGUUAAAGAAUAAGAAAGUUGCAUCCUAUUCAAUUUAAUAGUAAUAGUAAACACUUGAAAAAUGAUAAAUCAUCUAACUGUUACUUUUAUGAAAAUUUGGGGCACAUGAAAGAUAUUGUACUAAAUAUUACGCUUGGCAUAUAAAGUCAAGUACACUUCUCAUUUUGGUUUGUUUUGAUGAUUAAUUUACAAGUUGUUUAAGCCCCAUUAUUUAGAAAAAAAAUGCAUUCAUCUACAAUAUUUUGACAUCAUUUCAACCACAAAUUCUUCAAUAAAAUAAUAUUACACAUAAAUCCAAAAUUUUCCUUAUUUUUUUACACACAUUUUUCAUCUAUGCACUAUUUAAAAAUUCAUUUUUUCUCCAAAAUGGGACUCAAACAAAGGCUUGGUUUCAGCAUGCAGACACAUUUUGUGGAUAAAUUUUGGUAUCAUUAUUCAAAUAAGUGUGUCUAUGCGGGGUUGCUCAAACAGCCUAGCCAAUUGAUGCUGCAACAUUCAUCUAUGCGGAGGCAAUGACAAAUCUAUUAAAGUGAGACUAUAAGGCUUUUUGGGUUAUUAUCAAAAACUGGUUGUUAUUUGGAUUUGAAAGAGACAUUUGAGGUACAGUCUUUUUUGGACAAAAUUUGGCUUCUAUUUUUACAUUGAACAAA